UAUUCUUAGUUGCAUUCAAAGGCUUAAACUACAAUAGAUCAUCAAAAGGAAUUGACUCCCAAAUUCAGUUUCCAAUUUCCAAGCCUUCUUUUUCUGUCCUUUAAACUAAAUCCAUAGUCAAGCCAGUUCUGCUGUAACAAGAAUUUGCCUGGUUUCAACAUUGCAUUUAAAAACUUUACAUAAACCUACAAGAGAAAUGACUUACAGAAGGAAGUGGAGAUCUUGAUCUUGAACGCGAUCUGCAAAAGUUCCAAGAAACAACCCAAAUUUAAAUUCCACAGGUUCCUUUUAAGAACUGUCAUCCAAAAGCCUUGAUGCCACUCCCAUGUCAGAGUUACCAAAUUCAGAAGGCAUAAAAGGAAGGGCCACAAACCUUUAGCAAUUCAAGAAGGGGAGGAGCCUAAUUCAUAAAAUUUCCACCCUACAAAAUACCUAACUAAAUGGACAAGGAAGAAGAAGGAAAAAAACAAACACUUAACUAAUGAAUUAUAAUAGGUUCCAAGACAUCAUUGGACAGAAAAGAAGCAUGCUUCCCUACUGUACCACAAAAUCCAGAGAGAGUCCAGCUAGCAGGUCCUAUUAGCUUGGCAAAUUGAAGUAGAAAAUGAUAAUGACAGUUUCUACCGCUCAUUGCUGGUGACUUCCAGAUCCCCUAGCAGUUAGUUACUGCAGUCCAGCUUUCCUAAUGCAAUCCAUAAUCUCCUUUGUCCCCAAUCUAGCACCCAUGGACAUUUAACAUGCUAAAUACAUUAGAUAAGAAACACCAUGAAGGUUUCCAGAGCUGCCCAUCUGAAAAACAGCAUACCUCCACAAACCCAAAAAAGAUGCAGGAACUGAACCAUAUCCCAUCAAGAUCCUAUUUUCCAAUCCCCAGUUCACUGCACGUGUCAACCAAGGUAAUUUUCAUACAACACAAAGAAAGAACGAUCUUUUGACAGUCCGAUUACCCCAUCCAUUGAAUGAAUGAAUAAAAAAAAAAAAAGAAGACAAUAACAAAAUAGUCUCAGGAAAAAAAAAAUUGAAGCCAGAAAUAAUAGCAAGUAAUAAUUAUUAAAAACAAAAACAUCCAAGUUUACCAAACUUCAACAACUUAAAUACAUAGUACAACUCUGUAAUAAGGUCAAGGACUUGAUGGCAUUUCUAGCAACCAUUAUCCCAGUUAUAUUGGGGUUGAAUAAAACUACAAAUCAAUAAUCAAUUGACAACAGAACGAGGAUCAUCAAACCAAGACUACAGAAAAACAGAAAGUGCAUGUUUUGCAACCAAACCAAUUAGUAAACUAACUUAAAGCAAUUUAUAGCAUGACUUCACAGAUCAGUAGUUUGCUUGGUCCUAACAAAAAAGGGUACUAUUCAGCAUUUGUAGGUAGUGUGCUUCAAUCUUUCCUAGCAUGCAUAAAAGAUGUAUUUUUAUAUACUAUAUAUAAAAGUGGGAAGGGUGCUGGGAGGGAAUAACGGGAUUGCUUAAAAUACUCAUAGUUGAAAAUGAUAAUCACAAAUUGACUUCAGAUUUGAUUGGCUAUAAAAAUUAUUGUUUUUUCUUUAAAUUUAAAUUUAAUUGGUUAGAUUGAUACUCUAUAACUUUUUAAGGUAGUAAUGAUGAAAAUAAUCUGGGUUUUGAGCAUAGUUUUUAAAUCGAGAAUUGAAACCCAUAUUGGAUAUCUGGAGUUCUUUUUUUUUUUUUUGUAUAUUUAAUUUGUUUGUCCUAAAAUUUUUUAGUUCAUCAUCUUUAAUUUCAUUGUUUAUAUAGUUUAGGAUUUCCUUAGUCAUUUACUUGAUGAUUGAAAAUUAAUAUAUUAUGAUACAAGUACUACAAGAUAUACCAAUAACAUGCAUUGCACCUUUUUUUUUUUCAAAAAAAACUAAUUGAAGAUAAGUGCAGGUACAAGAUAAUUUAUUUAAUUCAUAAUUGACUCUCUUUAGGUCUCUCAGCCCCCAAGUUAUGUUUUCCAUCUAAGCCUUCACCAAUAGCCAGUAAAACACAUUAGUAAUUAUCUUAUUAGCUUCGUUUCAAACCAAUUAAAAGGGUAUCGGAUAUCAAUUACAAGAAAAUUUUUAACUGCCAUUUCCAGGAAUAGAUCAAGAGUAAUUCAUUAACCAACAAAAUUCCAAAAAGUGCAGGGUCAGAAUUCAAUACCAAUUGAAAAUUCUUUUUGUUCACAGAUGUCCAACCAUUCUAGAGAAAUAAGCAAUAUAUAUAAACACAAAACAAAUGGGCAAGCACAACAUUCACGUCAACAAUACAAAUAGAAUAAUGCCUAAUAAAAAAAUCCAGAAAUUAAGCAAACAACAAAGAAUACCUUGACAAAGAACGGCGUUUUGACCCAGAGUGAGACCGAGAAGCAGAUCUAGAUCUUGAUCUUGACCUAACAGGCGAGCGGCGAGACGAUUUGGUUUUAGGAGAUUUGCUGCAAAAAAAAAAAUGAUACAGUUAAUAAACAAUCACUACUACAACUGUUACUAAAGAAAGUCCAGAACAACACAAACGUAGGGCUCCUGCUCCGGCUAGAACUUCUGCCACGGCUGCGGCUGUCACCACGGCCUCUUGAAUGAGAUCGGCUACGACUGGGACUUUUAGAGAGGUCCCGCUUGGAAUCGUAUUCCUUCACCUACAAGCCAAAAAGAUUGUCAAACAAUGCAACAAAUAUAUACACACAUAAUCACAUGUACAAGUGCAUGUGUUUUGUGUGAGAAAGGGGGGGGGAGAUAUUCUGAUCAUACUCGGACAUAUGCUCGGGAAAACGCAUUCCGAAACUCAGAGUCAUCAAGUUUCUUGAUCUGAAGAGAAGAUAUACAAAAUUAUCAGGCCAUGAAAGGGCAGUUAAUUAGAUAAUUAAAAAAGGAAAAUGGGAAAAAACUUACUGCUGACUUCAUGUCGUCGUAGUUUGUGUAAUCCACAAUCCCUGUGGUACCUAAAGCCGACAAUAAUAUGACAAUAUGCAAAAUGUUAGUCCAGAUACUAAACCACUUUAAUUCAUCUAUUAAAUGAAAUCAACAUCAUUGCAUCAAUAAGUUAUAAAGCACAAGGCCAAUGGGACAGCACAAUGAUAAGUGCCAUUAUUCCAAAGGUAUUAAUUCUCAACUUCUCAUGUCUAUGAUAUUAGAAAAUGCAAAUAAAAAAUAAGGUACACAAAAUAUGAGUUAAAAUAAGCGUAACAGUGGUAACAUUAGGCAAUAGGCAUAGGCUACUAGGCUCAUUCUCUAAGAACGUCCUAGCAAUUAAGAAUAAGAAUAUCACAUGUGCACAUACACCCCAAAAAGAAUCCUGGCAACAGAUAAAAAGUCCAAAAGACAUAAAAGACUGAGCAUCUCACCACUACCAUCACGAAACACUUGAGAGAAACAGACAUCACCUGCACGUCGCAUGUGAUCCUGAAGAGCAAAAGGAUAAAGUAUUUAUCAACUUCAAAUACAACUUUAAGAAUGAGGGUAAGAUGCAUGCACCAGCAAGUACAUGAACCUGAACAUAGAAUGAUAGAAUACAAUUACAAGGAAGAGAUCCCAAUAAAAAAGGGGGGCAAUGGAAACUUUUUAAUAGGGAAGUAAAAGGAGGAUCUCAAGCCACCUUAAGGUCUUGCCAUGAAGCAGAUGAGGGCAACCCAGUGAUCAAAACUGCAUCAUAGAUAAUUGCAGUUAAAGGACAUAUGAUAAAUGCACUAAUUUAUGCCUCCUUGUUAAUAAAAUGCUGAAUGGUACAAAAUGCAUCACAUUUAGUGCAUAUACCUACCACGAUACUCAGAGCGCCUGGACACUCCUCUUCCACGCCCACCACUGUAACUACUGUGGCGAUCUGAAGAUGAAUGUCCACGCCCACCAUGUGCAAGCUCUACCUAUUUUAUAAGAAUGAAACAUAAGACCCAAAAGAAGAGCCACAGCUAAAGCCAAUGAACAAAUCUGAACUAUAACACCAUAAAAAAAUUAAAUAACCCGCAAACGAUGCCCAUCAAAAUCAUAGCCAUCACGACCGCGAAUUGCAUCUUCUGCAUCUCGAGCGUCUUCAAACUGCAAAAGCAAUUAGUAUUAGUAGAAGUCAAAGAAGUUAUAAUAAAAGGAAGGAGGAGGGGAAAUGAGUAUUUCCUAGCUCACCUCAACAAAUGCAUAACCAGGGGGCCUUGGUGGGAUCUUGAGAUCGAUGUGUGCUACAGGUCCAUACUGCAAUGGAAAGAGAGAUUCAGAGAUUCCAGAGAGAUGGCUAUUUUAAAUUAAGUGGAGUGGGACAAAAGUGAUCCACAAGUCAUAUAAAAAAGUCUUUGACACUUUUUUGUAGACGUCGAAUCCAGUGAGAAAACCAACAGGUCGCCACUGGCAAGCACUCUUUACAUAGACAAACUUUUUAAUGUCUCAGAAAUAAACUCAUAAUAAAUAUGGAAAUGCUCCAUCUUUCUCACACUUAAAACACAGAAGACGAUGAUAACCACAAAAAUGACAACAAUUCAAUACAAGCACCUUCUAUAUGCAUAAGCCAGAAUGAAUCUUUUAACCCUGCUAGCCCACUUGUAUGAUCAAGUUCUCUAUAACUUUACAGUUACAAGUGUAUGUAUUUAAGUCUGCUUCCUAAUGGAAACUUCAACUGCUGUUCCAGUGUUUCCAUAUUUAAUAAUCCGAAUUCUCAUGUCAUGUGCAGACAUUGAGAUCUUCUAGAAUAGUAAACAUACUGACUCGAACUUAUAGAAAAGAAACUUGUUAAGCUUGAUUCAUUGAUAACUUAUCCAAGCAAAAUGCAAGGCCAUGACACCAAAAAAAAUGUUGUCGUUCCCUAGGAACAACAUCCUCUAAUGGAAUAGAAGCGAUUAUAAAUAUCAAAAUGCAGGUUUUUGAAGGGAAUGGCAUGAGUCAAGCGACGUGACGUUAUGUUAUUUGAACAACCUUUUUAGCAUCCUGCAAAUAGCUCAGAUAAUUCACUUCAUCAGAUAUUUCUAACGGCACUCAGACCAUAGUAGCACUAUAAAAUUUACCAACGGAAGGACCACCAAAAAAAACAAAGAAGAAGAAAAACUACAAAAACUCUCUCUUACCCAUAUGCAUGAACUCAAAAGAGAAUGUACAAGGCUAUAAAGCAAACCAUAAUAAGAAAAAACAAAAGGCAUAAUUUGAAAAUAGAUGCCAUGUCACAUACAAUUGAAUCCAAACAACAACAGAAGCUGUAUUACCUUGUAGAAUAAAUCCUCCACUUCUCUCUCACGAAUAUCGCCAGGCAGAUUCCCAACAUAGAGUGUCCUGCUAGCGCGGCUACUCAUUUUCACUGAAACCAUCGAUAUAUUUCCCGAAAAAAUAGCCUCAAUAAUAAAAAAAAAUAGAAUAAAGCGUUCAAUAUCUUCUAAAAUUUUAUGGAAGAAAAACAACUAAACAAUAAAAAUUUACAUCAUAUAUUUCUUUAUUAAUCACCUCUGUGUCUUGAAUAAGUUUAGCCGAUUCGAUGUGAAAGCCGAUAUAUUAUGAUAUGAAAACAAAGUAAACAUUAAAAAGAAAAAUCAACGCUUCACUUUUCCUGCAAUUUUCCGCCAACCAAACAGGGGAUACAGAUGAGAGAGUACCUUUGGAUGAAAUAGACACUCGGCACUGGGCAGAAAAAUAAAACUUCGAAAGUUAGGGUUUUGAGAUUGGGCGAAAAUAUAAUACUCGGUUCAUUGUUAGGAUCUGUUUAGCGUCAUUGAAACUGCGGUUAAAAAAAAAUGAAUAUAUUAAAUAAAGAGUAUUAAAAUGAUAUUUUAAAAUUAAAUUAAUAGAUUUAAAUUGUAAAAAAAUAAAAUAAUUUGUUUUAAAUAUUUUUUUAUUGAGUCUAAAUUUCUUUAACUGAGAAAUAAUGUUGGUUAUUAAAACUCAAUACCAAGUAAAUCUAUACUAUAUAUAAUUGUGAGGGAAGGAGAAUAAUGAAAUUUCCAUAUUUGCUCUUAUGUACGCAAUACAUUUAUAAUUUUAUUUUAUUUUAUUUUAUUUUAUUUUAUUUUAUUUUAAAUAAAAGGUUGUUUAAUUAUAUUAACAUUCUACAUAAAUUUAAAUUGUUUGAAGGAUUACUUUAACAUUUAAUUUUUUUUUACAUAAUUAAAAUUUACUAUUAAUAUUAAAAUUUAUUCUUAUAACUUUAAUAAUUUUAUACAAUAUUUAAAAAAUUAAAUUUGACUCAUUUAAACUUAAUUAAAUAAAAAAAUAAAAAUAUUUUUAAUAACACUAUUAUUUUUAAUAAAAAAACUGAAAAGUGUCUUAAAAUAAUGUUGAAGAGGAUAGCUAGUGAAUUAUUUAUGGAAAAGACAAAGUAAUAAAAGAUAAUUUUUAUUAUUUAAAUUAAUAAAAAAAUAUUAUUAUAAUUUAAUAAUUCAAUUAGAUGAGUAAAAAAAUAAUGUUAAUUUUGAAAUUGUGUUAAAAUUUUUGGAUUAAAGAAUGAAAUAUAUUAUAUAUAUAUAUAUAUAUAUUAGGGAAAUAAUAAAUUGAUAAAUAGAGUAAUUCACUAUUAUGACAAUGAAAAAUUAAGUUUAAUAGGCUAUUAAAAUUAAAAGAAAUGGUUUAAAUUAAAGAUAAUAAUAUUUUUUUUUAAUUAAUAAGAUAAGUAAAACAUAAUUAUACUUUCGACGCAAAUUUUCCUCUCUGGUCACUUUGUGACUCUAUACUCUCGUAUUUUCAUCUCUUAAACCUAAUUUAUUAUUUCCUUUCUCAUGAAAGACGAUCUAAUCAAUUAACUAUCAAUGAAGAAGAAUAUAUUAUUGUUCCUAUUAAGAGCUCCAGAAAUAUUAUGAUCGUCACUUAUGAUUUCUGUAUGGUGUGAAUAUUUCUUACAUACAAUCCAAUCAAUUUUCAAAAUAUACAGACCUCUUUGACAGAUUUAUAGCGGCAAUUCUCGGACAUUUAUUACAUUGAAGGAUUUGGUUCCUAAUUACAAGCCGGACAUUUUAUUUUUUAUGGAAACAAAAACUCUUAGUUCUCGUAUGAAAUUUUUUCGUAAUUUUUUACAUUUUGAUGGUUUCUUCUCAAUCAAUAGUCAAUAGACAAGGAUCGGAAUGAGGCUUUUCGUUAAUUUAGAAGAGUCAUGAGUAUGUUUCUAUGGUUGGCUUUUCUUCAAAUUUUAUUGAUACGGUUAUUUCGGAAGGUAAUGUUCAAUAGAGGUAUACUAGUUAUUAUACGUUUCCGGAAUCGCAACGACGACGUUAGUCUUGGAACCUUAUUCGAACCUUAUCUCGUAGAAACUCUCUUCUGUGGCUUUGUUCGGAAGACUUUAAUGAUUUAUGCUCAGGAGAUGAAAAAGAAAGAGAAGUAUAUUUGCUAAAUUAUUUUAUGCAGGGGUUUAAUUUUGAAUGAUUGUAAAUUUUUGUUAGACUCUAUAACUGAUAUUUCUGUUAGAUAGGUUCGUUGUAAUAUUACUCUAACUGCUCAUACUUUGGUUAGAGAAUCUAUCAGGCAUAAUCGUCUCUCUAUUUGGGAUGAUAUCCCUCUUUAUUUGAUAAAAUUUUAUUAAUACAAUCGAUUAUUUUGCUUAAAAAAAAAGUAAAACAUAAUUAUAAUAAUAAAUAUUUAAAUUUAAUUAGUUGCUAAAAAUUGAUAUACCAUUGCAAUAUUAACUAUAUAUAAAAGAAUUAAUCACACUUAUGAUAACGAAUAUAAAUAACUUACCUGCACGAUAUAAAAAAUUAGUACACCAUAAAAGAAAAUUUUUUAACUUCUCUCUAUAUAUAUAUAUACUUUUUCAGGUAAAUAGUUCUCUAAUGUACCGGUGUUUAUUUAAUUCUAAUUAAGUUUAAAAUUUAUAAUUCAUUAAACUGAUAAAUAUUUAUUUUUUUUUUAAAGCAAAACUAUUGGUUGUAUUAAUAAAAUUAUAUCAAACAAAGAGGGAUAUCAUCCAAAACAGAGAGACAAUCAUGUGUAAUAGAUUUUCUAGCCAAAGUAUGAGCAGCUAGAGUAGCAUGACAACGAACUCAUCUAACAAAAAUAUCAGUUUUAGAGUCUAACAAAGAUUUACAAUCAUUCAAAAUCAAACCCAGUUCAGAAAUGACUAAAUGUGUAGACUGAAGAGCUCGAACUACCUGCAAACAGUCUAUAAGAAUGCAGCCAUUAAAGGGUAAAAAUUCCGUCGCAAAUAGCAAACAGUGACGGAGAGUUAAAGUUUCAACAAUUACCGGCGUACCAUUACCUUUCGAGAAACCAGAAACACCACGUUGAAAUAUACCCUCAGAGUUUUCCACAAUAAAACCGUAGCUAAUAAAAUCUUGAACUUGAAACAAAACCCCAUCAACUUGACAAAGCCAACUGAAAUUGUCCAAGCUUGAAGAUGACGCAUGAAUUUGGAGAGGAAUGGCUUCAGGAUCACGAGCAGGGUUGGAGGAAUAAAACAAGUUUCUGCCCUGAUAUAAAGUAGCAAUGGCAUUUCCAUGCAAAGCACGAGCACGUUGAGCAGCUUCCCAAUCAAAGAUAUGAUGCAUGACGUAUUCCACAAGGUGAACUGUUGAAUUUUGCACAUGGUUCCAUAAUAAUUAGUUCUUUGCUGACCAUAAUCUCCAUGCACAAACUAUUACAAAGGUUUUUCGAACCUUGUCUUGGGACUUUAAAAUCUGCAGUAAAAAUUAAAAAAAUUAUCAUUAGGCUGCAAAUCUCCCACUCCCCCUAACCUCCAAACUUCUUUUGACACAAGACAAUGCAACAAAAUAUGAUUGACACUUUCAUCUUCAUGGCACCAAGGACAUCUAGCAUCCACAUCCAUACCCUUUUGCCUUAAGUUAUCCUUUGUAGGCAAUAUAUUUCUACAAGCUCUCCAACAGAAAUCAUUCACCUUUGGAGGGAUCAAAACAUUCUACAAACUAGUCCAUAACUCACCCCCCACAUUAAAAGAUGAUCUUCCUAGCAAGUCCAUACACACAAAGUAUGCGGACUUCACCGUAUACACACCUCCUUUAUCAAAGUGCUACAAGAAAGAAUCUUCCUUAUUGGUAAUACUAAUAGGAAUAUUAAUAAUAGCCCUGAUAUCUCUUGAAGAAAAAAGUUUCAUUAAAAGAGCAAUGUUCCAAACCCUCCCAUUACCUUCAAAAAGAUCACAAACACGUAAAUGUGGUUUAAUAAAAUCGGAGCCAUCAUCCGCAAAAAAUGUAUCCUCCUUAGGAAUCCAAGGAGCUGAAGCUACUAACAUUUUCUUUCCAUUACCCACCCUCCACCUUGUACCCCUUUGAAUCAACUCCCUUGAUGCCAUCACACUUUUUCAAACAAAACUAGCACCAUUACUUAUAUUGGCGGAAAAUAAAUCAUCAUUUGGGAAAUACUUUACUUUAAACACUUUAUAACAAAGAGUAUUAGGAUUUGUUAAGAACCUCCACAGUUGUUUGUCAAGUAAAGACAAAUUAAAACUCCUAAAGUCCUGAAAUUCUAUACCCCCUCCUUCUUUCUACUACACAUCUUCUCCCACGCUAGCCAAUUAAUACCCCUCCGCCAUUCUCUUUUACCCCCCCACCAAAAGCCAUUGACCAUUCUAUGCAAUUCAUUCAAAAUAGCAAUGGGAAUCAAAAAAAUAUUCAUGCAAUAUGCAGGUAUAGCCUGCAACACAAAUUUUAUGAGAAUCUCCCUGCCUGCUCUAAAUAGGAAUCUGUUGCUCCAUGAAUUAAUCCUUUUCCACAUUUUUCUUUCAGAAAACCAAAAAUUGCUUUUUUGUUCCUUCGAAUAAGAGAAGGUAUUCCCAGAUAGGCACUAUGACUCAAUGGUGAAUAAACAUCCAAGAUAUUACUGAUAUUAGACCUUAUAGAGGAGACCACAUUGGGACUGAAGAAAAUGCCAAAUUUGUUGAAGUUUACCACUUGACCAGAAGCAGCCGCAUAGGUAUUGAGAAUAGAUUUAAUACUAUCUGCUUUCUCCAGUCUAGCAUUAAAAAAUAGCAAAUAAUCAUCUGCAAAAAAUAAAUGUGAGAUCUUUGGGCAUCUAGCACCUGCCCUACAGCCCUGCAACCAGCCCUUAGAUUCAGCAUCUUUAAGUAGUAACGAUAAGCCUUCCGCACACACCAAAUAGAGAUACAGAGAAAUAGGAUCUCCCUGUCGAAGACCUCUACCAGGCACAAUAGGACCAAUCCAAUCACCAUUAAAAUUGAUAUUGUAAGAAACUUUCGAAAAGCACAUAGUCAACCACCUAAUCUAUUGAGUAGAAAAACCAAAUCGUUCCAGCAUGCCUUUUAGAAACCCCCACUCUACCAUAUAUUUUCAAGUGCAUAAUUACCAUCAUUUAUGCCCUUAUUAAUUUUCAUAUUGUGUAUAAUUUCAAACACAAUCAUAACAUUAUCGGUAAUCAACCGAUGAGAGAUAAAGGCAGAUUAAUUCUCAGAGAUAAUCAUAGGAAUGACCCUUUUAAAUCUGUUCACCAAAUCUUUAGCCACAAUCUUAUAUAACACAUUACAUAACGCAAUUGGACGAAAGUUUUUAACAGUUUCAGGUCUAUCCACUUUAGGGAUCAAAAUAAUCAAUGUUUCAGUAAGAGAAGAAGGAAAAGUACCUUGUUGAAGCCAUAGGCGACAACCAUUGGAAACAUCAUUGCCAAUCAAGUGCUAAAAUCUCUGGUAAAAUGCAGGAUUUAACCCAUCCGGCCCAGGUGCCUUGUCUGGAUGCAUCUGAAAAAUAGCAGCUCUAAAUUCCUCAUUUGAAAAGGGAGCACAAAGAUUAACAUUAUAGGCAUCACUAAUCAAGGGCGGCACCAACUCAAAAACUCGUUCACAAUCCACAGAACCGCCAUAAAAAAUAGACUGAAAAUAAUGCAAAACAUGAUUUUUAAUUUCUUGCUCAUCCUCAAUCCAGGUACCCAACGACUCCUUUAAUUUAGUAAUAUGAUUCAUUAUUCGUCUACCAUUAAUUUGUGCAUGAAAAAAUUUUGUAUUUCGGUCCCCAUUUUUAAGCCAAAAGCACUUUGUCUGCUGUUUAAGUCUAGCUUCUUCCUGCUUAAGGAGAUGAUUUCAAUCUUCCUUUAAAGAGGCGUGAGAAACAGUACUGGGCGCAUUAUCCAAUAAUCUCUGUAUAGUAUUCUUCUUUUGCCAAAACUCUCUAUUUUUACUCCUACCCCACAACAAAAGAGCAUAAACUAAAUCAUCAUGUUUCAUUAAAAGGUUGCGUGGUAUAGAAUUAACCCAAGGUCCUUUAACAACCUCAGCCAGACCCUCAUCACAUAACCAUGCAUUAUCAAAUCGAAAUCUCCUUCUAUCUCCCCCUUUUAUCCUUAGGAGUUGUAUUAAUCACCAACGGUUUGUGAUCCGAUCUAGGAACAUGAACAACCGAGCAGACAGCAUUAGUGAAUUUACGACCCUGAUCCUCAGUAGCAAGGGCUCUAUCAAGCUUCUCUCUAACCAGAUUAUUCGACUUCCUGCCCUUCUCCCAUGUGAAAAAAGAGCCAACAGUGGAUAUUUGAACAUGAUUACUGUCCUCAAGUGCCUGUCUAAACCUCUGCAUAAGAUAAUUUGGCAAAGUUGCUCCUCAUUGUUUCUCAUCUAUUGAGCAUAAAUCAUUAAAAUCUCCCAAACAAAGUCACGGAAGAGAACUUCUACGAGAUAAAGCUUGAAUAAGGUUCAAAGACUGACGUCGUCGUUGCGAUUUCGUAAACCCAUAAUAACCAGUAAACCUCCAUUGGACAUUACCUAGCGAAACAACCAAAUCAAUAAAAUUUGAAGAAAAGUCAAUCACAGAAACAGACAUAUGACUCUUCCACAUUAACGAAAGGUCUCCUCCCAAUCAUUGUCUAUUGACUGAGAAGCAACCAUCAAAAUGUAAAAAACUACGAAAAAAUUACAUACGAUAACUAAGAGCUUUUGUUUCCAUAAAAAAUAAAAUGUCCGGCUUGUAACUAGUAACCAAAUCAUUCAAUGCAUUAAUUGUCUGAGAAUUGCUGAGUCCUCUGCAGUUCCAACACAGGAUGAUCAUUGCUUUCGGCUAUCCUGACCUUUGAUGGGAUGAGCCGCUUCGAUAGUCAAUUGAUGCAGAUCGUCUUCCAUGGGGGAAAGGAAAAGAAGAAGUUAGGCUUAAGAAGAGGAAAAAACGAGAGUAUUGAGUCAUAGAGAGACCAUAGAGAGAAACUGAUAAACAUUUAUUAUAAUAUUUUAAUUUAAAACUAUUUUAAUUUAUUUCUAUAUUUUAUAUAGUUUAAGGUAACACGUAUGCUAAUAAUAUUUGAAUGUUCAUAAAUAAUAUAGAUACGUGAGAAAAAUAGUAAUUCCUAACAUGAUAUAAUAUAAAUAUAUAAUAUGCAUAUUUAUAUGUUAAUUUUGAAAUAGAGCCGUAUAGUUUUUUUUUUUUUUUUAAAUGGAGAUUGAGAGAGUAGAAUUUGAGAUCUCUCGAAUUUACUCGGAUGCACUUAUCAUCAGAUUAAAUUUGUGAGUGCUAACCCAUAUUAUUUAAAAAUAAAAGUAGUUGGCAAUUUCUAAUAUUUUCAUUUUAUGUGGGAAGCCGCGCGUGGCGUCCAAGUAUUUUUUUUGUUUUUUUUUUGAAUUGCAAGAUGUAUUGCAUUACCUGGUCCUUUAACUACACAAUCAGCCACAUGAUUGACACUUCUUCGAAGGGAAAGAUAAAUUUAUCGGUUUUUUAUUUUGAAAUUUGUGGACUGUCAGCAAAAAAAACAGCAAUAAUUUUAUAUUCAUGCUAAGAUAAAACUUAUAACAUAAAAUAUUAUUUUAACAUAUUAAAUUAUAAAUUUUAAAAUAAAUCACAAAUUUCAAAAUGAAACUUUUUCUUAUUUGUAUCACACAAAUCUCUCUACUCUAGUUGUCAAGGACUUAAUAGCUGCCACAGCGAGGAAGGAUGUGCUUCUUUUGAUAUUGAAUUUCUAUGAAAUCGAAAAGGAAACGGACGAGGUUUAUAUUUGGAAAAACCAAAUUAGCUUCCCGUCUAAUCAUAUUUUCACCCACUUAACCACAGCAUCCAUACUCUCAAGUGUGUGCUAUACCAAUGUAGAUGAUGAAUCGGUAUAACUGAUUCCAACCAAGAAACCAUUUUCCUACAGAAAUGCAGAGAAUUUGACAGAGCUUUUGGAGCCACAUGCAUAUUUAUUGCAUUUGAAAGUGUUUCAGACGGACAUGGCACCCUUAGUCGAGUAAGCAUUUUGAGCUAUUUUAUGCACCUUGGACACAAAAACAGAAGCUUUCCGUAAAAUGUAAGAGCACAAGCACAAGUCAGACUGCUGAAACCUAGAAUUCGAGCAUCGUAAUAUGCGAAAAAGCAUUUGAUUUGCGGCUGAAAAUAGAAGCCUUGAGGGCAGGAACUAAUGAUGCAGACCACCACUAUUUACCGAUAACAAAAUAACGAGAUCUUCCAACUUAGUCAUCCAAUCUUGCUGCUUUUUGACACCUGAAUAAAACAGUGUCCAGUCUCCAAGGAGCUAAAUACAAGUAAUACAGAGUUCAUUUAUAUAGGAAAAAAUGAAAUAAGACUAUCUACGAUUCAAUAGCAGAAAAUUGCAAUUGUGUGUGUGUGUGUGUUUUGUGCAGUGAAACUCCAUUUAUUCGGCAUACCAGGCGCAUUUAUCCGGCAAAUCAAUCUUAUGAAGUGCAGAACUUCAUGUCAUUGCACAAAUUAAAAAGACUCACAUUUGCAUUUCCAUUCUGAAAUAAACAAAAACAGAAUAACUUGAACACAGUUCGAUUAUCAUAUGGAUGGAAAAUACACCUUCACAUGUUCUUUAUUACUAGAAUUUCAAAAGAUGACGAAUUAUUGGUUAUGCAUGGUGACUAUCAAUGCCAUGUUCACCGUCCUUGGUCUUCCGAGCAGCUGCUCGUAUCUUACGCUGCUCCUCCUUGUAAAUGCGGUUUCUUCUUUGAAACUGCGAUAAACAUUGGCAUUGACCAUAAAAAGGAAUGAAUAUACAUAAUGAAAAGCAAAAGCCAGGUGACUUCCAUGUGAGAUGGAUCAAUUUUAUACAACCCUGAUAAUUUACAUGCCAGAUCCACCAGGGUUCAAGGGUAAAUAAAUUAUGAUAACAGUAAAGCAUGGAGAAUAAACCAGAAAAUGCAUUUUUAUUCUAAAUACUGAUAACAACUCCAAUAGCAAAAUUUUGUAAAAUACAAUUAGAGUAGAAUUGCACAGUUUAUUAAUAUCCAAUUUAGUGGAGUUGAAAAGCACAUAUAAGAUCACAGUAUACAGAAAAUAGAUGUUGAAUUGACUCACUGAAUCAUUUGCAAAAUUACAAUCAUAAAGCAAGAUUCUUAAUUGAAAAGCCUUCGUUAUAUGGAUUUGUAGGAUCACUUUGCAGUUCAUAAAAGGAAAAGGUAUAGAGCAGAGGCAUUAGCCUCAACAAGAGUGGGUGUCUACUUCAGCCUAUAGUUAAUCUGCUGCAUGGUCUGUCCAGCCCAAGUUCUACUCUAAGGUAUGAUAUAUCUAGGAAUAUACUUUCUGGGAUUUGCUUGUCAAUUAAAAUUUAUUCUGUGAAUAAAUCAAGGAAUAAGUAAAUUGGGGUUUAUUUGCAACACAUAUAAAACAAUUGCUGCAGUUGGAGCAACUUUGAAGUAAAAGUCAACACAUUAUCGACCCAACCCUCCUGCACAUUAUUUCAUUGCAAUGCGCAAAAGGGCAUCAACCAACAAAAUGUGCAAGGUAUGGAUACCAAGGGAAUCAGAAACAUUGUCAACGAGAUAAAAUUGCAGGGAAAAGGUUGACCUGGAUACAUAAAGUUGUAAAAGAGUUACGAGAGUUCAGGACUCUCAAAUCUCAAGUGAGAAAAAGCACCAUCGGAAUUAUUCCAUCUCUGUUGCUCAAACUCUUAAAUUUUAACCCAAAAUGCACCAACAUCAGAUAAGUAUCAUAUAAGAAUUGGACCUCACAUAUAAGCCCUUAGUAGAAUUCUGAAAAAAUGUUAUGAGGAAAAAAGCAUCUGUUUGCACAUGGAUUUGUAACCAACACCUGUACUGAGUCUAGGCAGGAUUUCAGCAAUAAGACAUAAGAAGCUUUGGAUGGUUGAUAGGAUCGCAGUGAUGAAUAUAUAUAUUUAGAGAGAGAAAGAGAGAGAGAGAGAGACUGUAACCAAAAUUAAAACUAAACAAGGGUAUAAUAACAGUUGUGAAACCUGCAUUUUCGGCAAUAAACUUUAUCAAGACAGAAUUAUGCAACCACAUGAAGACUGUUUAAUUAAAUAUAUGUAGUGAAAUGCAUUUAAUAACAUCAAUAAUAUUGUAACUCUUGAUAGUUUUCAGGGUAUAAGAUCUCAUUGAGUUCAAUUAUAAGAUAUUAAUAUCAUUUUUUCAUUUUUAACUAAUAUUUUAUUAUUUAUUUUUAUAUGGUGGUCCAGAAAAAAAGAUCUAGAACCGCCACUGAGAUUGCAUUCCCGGGGCUAUAAAGCAACAAGAAUGACUAUUACUUUUCAAUUUCCCCCUAUGAAUAAUAUAUAUUACCUAAAAUUAACAACUAAGACAUGAACAGUAUGUUUGGAUGGGGUGAAGGGAGGUUUUUUAAAGUAAGGUAAGGAGAGGUAAAGGGAGGUAAGGUUUUAAAACCUUGGUGGAUUAAAAAAUUGAGGGUUUUGGAAAACCAUACAAAUACUUUAGAAAACCAUACCUUACCUCCAAACACUUCUUCCCAAACAUCGUGGACGUGUUCUGCAAAUUUGAGCUACCACCGAUAGCUCAUUAACAGUUCAAUAGCUAGAAUAAUUUUGCCCCAGUAAUAUGAUUGAUUCGCAUGGAAAGUAAACUAAACAGUACAAUAGCACACCCAAGAUUUCCAAGCAUAUGCACAGGCAACGAUGAUUCUGAUACCAUUUUCUCAUCCCAUUUAUGAUUUCAUAAAUAACAUGCAUUCCAGCUAUCAAGCCUCAAUGUACCAAACUAACAAAAUGCGAGUACCAAAACUAACCAUCUCGUAAUUUCGGAGCUUAUUAGGGGGAAAAACUCAAAAGAAAUGAAGCUUUUGUCUCCACAGGAGUAGGGUUUUAUCAAAUCGUCAGAACUAAACAAGAUCCAAUAAGAAUCUAAACUAAUAAGAAAGUAGUCAAAUAUAAUAUGGGCUAGAGAAGCGCAUACAUAAAUAAUAUCAUAGCUGAAGCUAACAAGGAGUAAAACCACAUAAUCAAUGAAAUUUUUACAAUAUCCAAAAUAUAGAGUCUCAAUUUAGCUUCGAUUUAAAUGCUGAGUGAACCGAUUGAACAUUGACUAAAACUUAGGAGAUACCUCUUUGGAGUGGUGGAGGCACUCAAGGUAAUCUUCGCGGAGGAGAGCGCAGUCCUUGGGCUCUCUGCAACGAGACAUGCAUUCACUGAAGUCAAUCCAGAAAUCGUAGCAUCUCCCCUUGUUUCCGGUGAUCCCCCAACCUGAAGCCAUUUCUCACUCAAGCUUCGCCGAUGGCACCUAUCGAUACGGGUGGUUUAGUUUUGUUCGCUAGAGGCCGAUCCUGAGGUGAAAAAAAUACACGUUUGCAACUGUAGCUGCCCGCUGCUGAGCCAAAAUGCCGAAUCCGUAAGUGGAGCUAUCCAUGGACUUGCGGUUACGGGUAAUAUUUGCGGGUUGGUCACCCGUAAUGCUCCGUAUUGACCUUUAUGGGUGGAUUUCAGUUUUGGGCUCAAGGCCCAAAAUCCGAUGCUGGUUCACCAUCUUUUCUGUUUUCACUUUAUUAAUAAAAACAAUUUCCUGUUAAUUCAUUCUUACAAUGUAACAGUUUAUGUCAUUGUAUUUUAUUUAUUGUAAUGAUUUUUGUAAAUUUUUUUUAAAAUGAACAAUUUAAUUUUAAAAUUUCCAUAAUAAAAUUAUUUUAUUAUUAAAAAAAAACUAAAAUCUAAUAAUGCAUACAAACAUUUUUAUUCACAUUAAUAAACAAGUUAACUGUUUAAAAUUAAAAGGUAUUAUUUAUUCAAUAAUGACUGAUUUGGAUUUAUGUAAAAAUGUUAUUAAUUGAGAUCAGAAGUAAAAAUUCGAUUUCAAUUGAAUGUAUAUAAAAAAAAAAAGGGACUAAAUUCAAAGACAUCUGUCUCAAUUAACAUGAUUACGGCCAGUAUUUAAUAUAUUAAACAUAAUUAAAAAAAUAAAUAAACAAAUAAGGUAUAAUAUAAUUAACGUAUGGAAAAAAAAGUAGUAAAAUCAAUAUAACUAAUUUACGUAUAAGAAUUAUUAUUAGCAUGCUUAGAAAAUUAAUAACAAUUUACGUUCAAAUAAAAAGAAAGGUAAUAAUAAUAAUAAUAAUAAUAAUAAUAAUAAUAAUAAUUUAAUAUUAAUUUUAUUGACAUAAAUAAAAACUUAACAUAUGUAAUACGAAUAUUAACAUAACUCAAUCUAAAAUGGUAACUAAAUUUAAAAUGGUAAUUUGAUAACUAUUAUUAUUUUUUUCCCUUUUUAUGGAUUUCCGCGAGAUUUCAAAUUUGUUAUAUACGAAAUAUGAAUAUUAAAUUUAUCUUUUUAUACGUGUCUAGAAAAGAAAGAAAAAAAAAAAAAACUCAUGUCUAGUAUUUUUUUUAUCUGUAAUAUUAUAUUAUUACAAAAAUAUAUAUAUAAUUAUAAUUUUUAUCAAUAAAUAAUUAAUAAUUUUAUUAUUGAUAUUUUAAAUAGUUAUAAUUUAUUUUAUAAUUAUUUUAUAAUAAUUUAAUUAUAUAUAUUUUCUUUUUUUUUGUUUUUUCAAUGUAUUGAUAUUUAAAUAAUCGAAUGUCCUUUAAUUUGGUGCCUAAAUUACUAUUUUUUUAUAUUUAUAAAAGAAAAUAAAUACUUUAAUUUGAUAGAUAAUUGUUUAAUAUUUAUUUUUUAUUUAAAAUAAAAAUUAAAAAUUUAAUAAGUAGAAUUUAAGAUUUUUCAAAUUAAUAAAUUGUAUUUAUUAUAGAAUUAACUCAGUGAAUGCUGAUUAAUAUUUAUUUAAAAGUUUAAAAUUUUAAAAAAUUAAUUUUUUACACGUUUUUCCGGUGAUUAUUAUAAAAAGCCUUUUUUUCAUACAUAUUACCAGGUUUUUCAUGAUAAAAUUAUUUUGUAUCUAAUAUAUUAUUAAAAAUAUUUGAUAAAUAAUUUAAAUAAGAAGUAUGAUUUAUUUAGAAAAGUAAAAUUCGUAUUUUUAUAUGCCACAAAGUUUUAAAAUUUAAUUAAAAUUCUGCCUUAUUUUAAAGUUGACUGCAAAAUAUAGUAAUAAUUUUAAAUGAGAUUGCUAAUAUAUUUUUUACUUUAAUUAUAGAUUAUUAAUAAUUAAGGGAUUUUAUUGAGUUUUGAAUAUAGAUAUUUUAUUUUUGGUAAAAAUAAAUUUCCUUUUAUUAUUAUAUUAUUUUUAAAAACAUGAAUUCUGAACAAAGAACGUAAACAACGCAGUACUAUGCUUGAGAAAGAUGGGUGUGCGGAAAUAAAGAUCUAGGCCGUCCGUUAGAGCCAUCAACAGCUCUCCAAGAUUCAACUGUAAAAUGGUCCCACAAAAAUAUUCUCAAAUUUUGACGUGGACCCACGAGACCCGAUAACGUGUUCAAGAAGGAGAUGACGUCGGUUUAUCACAUACACUGUGUCUAGCUUACGCUGUCCUAAGCCCAGAAAAUGACUGGAUGGCGCCGAAAAAUGGCAAUCAAAGAGAGCAAAGACAUUGGCUUAAAGUGAAACACUUUCGCCCUCCUCUAUUCAAGCUCACGUAGCACCGACCUUCUCCGAUUACUAAGGUCGGUGGCGCGAGAAACUCGCGUCGCGGUGUCCCUUCCCUUGCAAAUUAAGUCUUUCCAAUUUCUCCGUAUAUCCUUACUUUCUUCAGCGAAGAAAAACGACACAGCAGAAGAGAGCAGAGAAUUUUGAAAAUGGCGGCUUCAUCUUCUCCAACGUCCUCGUGUAGCUCCUCGUAUGCUUCUCCAUUUUUACAACCGGAGUUCUCGUCUCUCCCGGUGAUGUCGCUCAGAAAGAAAAUCGUCGAGAAAAUCAGGGAAAAUCGUGUCACCCUCAUAGUCGGCGAGACUGGCUGUGGUAUUCUUUUAACUUCUUUUUUCCAAGUUUUAGUUUUUUUCUUUGGGACACGGUUUUUCCCGUUGCAUUUCGUUGUUUAAGACUAUGAGACGAUGUUUGAUUGCGGAAAAAGCACGAGGGAACUGAAAAGAAAAGAAAUCCGGGCUGUGAAUUGUCAUUUAGAUGAUCGAAUAAAACAAAAUCAAAUCGAACAAGUUUGGAACUGGUUUCGUUCCCAAAACAAAAUGACAAUCUUUUUGGUGGAUAAAAUAUUUGCUGUUUGUCUCUACCUUAAAAUACUUUAUAAAAGAAUCAGUUAGUAUACAUUUGCUAUUUUGCGCGUAAUCUCUCUCUCUUUUUUUUUUUUUUUGUGGUUCUGGGGAAUCUUAAGAGUAAGGAGAGAGCUGGAAUCGAAUGAAUUUCCCUUAGUCCAGUUUUUUUGGGACUUGAAAUUUAUAGUCUAUGGAAAAUGAAGGUUUCUUGUUGCCUCUACUUCAUUAUUCUAUCUUCUUAGUAUGGAUUAGUUUCAGGUUGAUUUUAUUAAUUGUAUUACCUCUGAGUUAGAGUUUCAAAAGAUAAAUAAUAAUAAUAAUAAAAAGGUUUCUCUGACCUUACGUGCUCUCCUUUGGCAGCUCCCCAAAAUGUAGGCAAAUAAUAUUACAAAUUUUUGUUUGAGAAUUGAAGUGUUCAUUCAGCUGAAUCAAAUUUUACUUUUUGGUUUAGUUUAUUUAGCAUAAUCAGCUUUGGGAAUUUCUGAAAAAUAUGAAAACUUAUGUGUAAAUGCAAGGUUUCUUAUUCACUUAAUUGCAUUAAUUAUUCUAAACUCCUACAUAUCAUUAGCCUCUGACUGAUAAUCGGCCAUUCUUUUUCCAAUUAUAUUUUCAAGGAAAGAGCUCCCAAAUCCCACAGUUUCUUCUGGAAGAAAACAUGGAACCCAUCAUAUGCACACAACCCAGGAGAUUUGCUGUUGUUGCUGUUGCUAAAAUGGUUGCAAAAGCUCGUAACUGUGAGCUGGGAGGAGAGGUUGGGUAUCAUAUAGGCCACUCAAAGCUAUUCUCAGAAAGGUACUUUUUUUAUGUGUAAAUUUAUUAGCGUAUCUUUUUGUUUGUCAACUUUUUUUUAGCUUUGCAUUUGAUGCGUGUUUCAUGUCAAGAUAACUUGAUUGGAUACAAGUAAUCAAUGGGUGCCUGAGCUUGUAAAUAAUUGACUUUAUGCUUUACUAUCUGUACGGUUCAAUUUUCUCCGGCAUACAUCAGUCACUUUUUGGCAUACAUUUUUUCUAUAAUUUCCUUUAUAAAUUGCUAGUGUAUGUUAUACAAAUGUCCUUUAUUUCAUUUUGCAGAUCAAAGAUUAUCUUCAAAACAGCUGGUGUUUUGUUAGAAGAAAUGAAAGAAAAGGGGCUGAAUGCACUCAAAUACAAAGUUAUCAUUCUUGAUGAAGUGCAUGAAAGAUCCAUUGAAUCUGAUCUUGUUCUCGUCUGUGUAAAGCAGUUUCUGUUAAAGAACAAUGACUUGAGGUAUUAUUGCUAUUUAUCUGGAUUUUGAAGCAUGCCAUUGAAUUUCGUUAAGCUCACCGCAGUUGACAUCAAAGUGAUUGCUAGUUGGCUUUUUGGCAUAUUUUUACUUGUGCUUCUCCCCUUACUUUUAGCUUGCUUGCUUAUUUAAUUACUAUAAGAGUAGCGCAUUAUCUCUUGCACUUCAUGGUUAGUUCUAUUUGGUCAUAUUACUUGAGUGUCUAAUGCCCUUCUGAUUUUUUUAGGGUGGUAUUGAUGUCUGCAACUGCUGAUUUUGGAAGAUACCGUGAUUAUUUUAAAGAUCUUGGCAGGGAUGAAAGAGUUGAAGUGCUUGCGAUCCCUAGCUCCAACCAGCAAGCCCUUUUUCAGAAAAAAGUUUCAUAUCUUGAGCAGGCAACCACUUAUCACUAUUUUUUGUUGCCAGUGGACUUUGCUCCAACCUUAGUUUUAAAUUGAGAUAUAUAUGGAUAUUUUUUGUUGCUAGUGGACCCUGCUCCAACCUUAGCUGGUUGGGGGAAUUACGAUGCAUGUGGUGUCUUUUACAGCAUGUUACCUGAUUUCCACAGUACUUAUGAUAAUGAAAUUGAUUAUUACUUUUGGUUUUCUGAACAGAUAACUGAAUUUCUUGGAAUAAGUUCAGAGUUAUUGGCUACUAGAUACUGUUCAGGACCAGACCCUUCCAUGGCAGCUGCUGAUAUUAAACCAGAAGUACAUAAGCUCAUACAUGAUUUAAUAGUGCAUAUCCAUGAUAAUGAAGUGGAUAUUGAAAAGGGCAUUUUGGUUUUCCUUCCUACAUACCGUGACUUGGAACAGCAGUGGUGCCUUCUGAAGCCACUUAGUUCAUGUUUUAAAGUUCACAUUUUACAUCGAAGUGUUGACACUGAACAAGCUCUCAUGGCUAUGAAAAUCUGGAAAUCACGUCGUAAGGUAUGCCUUCUAUUGAUUAUCUCCUGUGGAGAGUUGCAAUUUUGUUGGAUGCAUUUAGGGUAGAGGAGAAGCAACUUUGCUGUUGAUAUUCAAAUAACAUGGAAAAGUCAAUAAAUGUGUGGCCUUUAGCUUUACCCUAGUUGUAGAGGAGUAAUUUCUGAUGCAACUUUUUAAUUAGUUGUGUCCACAUGCAUGAUACAGGCAAUUGAGUUAAUUUUGGAUUUAUAGAGUUUGCACUGGACCUUUCAUUUUCCUUUGUGAAAAGUUUACACAUAAAAUUUCUACUCUUAAGUGUGCCAAUUGAAUAUCAUGUACUGGCUGUAGCUGCUUACUUGAAUUUGUAUAAUUUUGCGUAGGUGAUAUUGGCCACAAAUAUUGCAGAAUCUUCUGUGACAAUACCCAAAGUAGCAUAUGUCAUUGAUUCCUGCCGAUCUUUGCAAGUUUUUUGGGAUUCUACAAAGAAAAUGGACGCUGCAGAGCUUGUUUGGGUUUCUAAAUCUCAGGUGUCAAGGAGAUUUUACCAUUUGAUUUUGGUCUUUUAUUUUAUUUUUUAACUAAUUUUAAAUUCAUGCUUUAGGCUAACCAACGUAAAGGCAGAACUGGUAGAACCUGUGAUGGUCAGAUUUAUCGGUUGGUCACAGGAUCAUUUUUCAACAAGCUUCAGGAACAUGAGUCUCCAGCUAUACUCAGGUUAUCAUUACGGCAACAAGUCCUUAUGAUGUGCUGUGCUGUAUCUAAAGCCAUUAAUGAUCCCAGGGGUAUGAUUCUAUGAUUUGAAGUUUGUUGAAAGUCAAAAUGCUUUGUGCUGCUGCAUAAUGAAAUGUCUAGAAUAUUCUUCUAGACUAAAUGUUCACUUUCACCCUUCUGUUUAUAAAUUCGUCCAUUUUUAGUUGUUUGUCCAAAUUAGCACAGAAUUUUCAGUUUAAUCUCAAUUGAGCCCAAAAUAAAAUUUCUAGACUAAAUUUCUUUAUUUUUUGAUUUGGACCAAAAAUCAAGCAGCUCAAUUUCUUGAUUUUUGGUCUAAAUUGAGCUUAAAUUGGAACUUCUGGCUAAUUUUAGACAAAAAGUUGAAAAUAGGCUAAAUUGAAUAUCCCCAAUAAGUAUAGGGUGGCAUUAGGCCAUUUUCCCCCUAUCAUGAACUUUAAUUACCUUGCCUAGACCCCAAAUUUGGGAAAUGGUAUAUUGCAUUUCCUUCUCACUUCUGGAAAAGCAUGAGGUGGAUGAUUAUUUGCAUGUUUGAAUGACUGUUGCAGAAAAUCCCAAUUACCAAAGUUUUUAUCUUGCUUGAAUGUGUCAAAUAUGAAUAAAGGAAUGACAAAUUCAUGUUACUUGAAUCAUGCUGCCAAUUAUUUCCAAUGAGGCUACUUAACCCAAUUUGCUGGGACUGCACUUUCAGUUGAUUUUUCGCUCUUUCAACCAAUAUUUGGUGUUGUUAACUGCUGCACAGGCAUUUUCAACCUAGGAGGUUGAUUUUAGAUGGACUUUUUCUGUAGUUGUGGACCUGGCUUAAUAAUUAUAAACUCAUUUAGGUUCUUACCCUUUCUCUCCUCGGGAGGAGAUUGGUAUAAGUAGAAUGGAUGCUUUAUUCUAUGACUUUGAUUGUGUUAUAUCUGUAGUUUUCAGAACAGCUUGGUUAGUAUUGUUGGUCACUUGUAUGAAAAUUGAGUGAAAUUCUAAUUCAUGAAACUUUUAUAUAGGCUUGUUGCAAAAAGUUCUGGAUCCUCCUCAUCCUCAAGUAGUUGAAGAUGCACUAGACAUACUUGUUCAUAUAAGUGCACUGGCUAGGACCUCUACAAGAGGCCGGUAUUAUGAGCCUACAUUUUAUGGGCGGUUGCUUGCUAGCUUCUCAUUAUCCUUCGAUGCCUCAGUUCUUCUACUCAAAUUUGGAGAUAUUGGAUUGUUGCGUGAAGGCAUUCUGAUUGCUAUAUUGAUGGAUGCACAACCACUACCAAUUCUUCACCCUUUUGGAGAAGAACAUUUGGUAUUGCCUAAUAAGUGAACUUUUUGUGUUUACUUGCUGGUUUGAACAGUUCUGUGUUUCUCAUAAAUCAAUGUUAUCCUUCAGUUUACAGAGUACACUUUCCGCUACUUCGGUGGUGAUUGUAACAACAUUGUGAAAAUUGGUCGAAAAGAGAUGGUAUUAAUUGGAAACUUGUGCGCAUAUCAGUUUUGGCAACGUGUUUUUAAGGUAAUUUUUUCAUCUUGCAUGUUUUGAGGAAGGUUUGUUUGAAUAGUUUUUUAAUGUACGACUUAAGCAAUAUAUGGCUUUCUACACAGGAUAAGCACCGUCUUGAACACCUGAAACGGCUUUCUAAAUUUGACGAAAUGAAAGCUGUGACACCACUGCUACUGAAGAUUGAAGAAGAAUGGUGCUCAUUCCAUAACCUUGUGCAGUCAUCACUACAUCAAGUGUCAGAGACAUGUAUGGAUUGAAAUGUUAUAAUGCUUGUCAUCUCUUACAUGUUAUCUUCUACCCUUGUCAUGUUUGGAAACCUAUGCGAAUCUUCAACUUGGUUAUAUGAGGAUUUUCCUUUUCACUUUGCUUUUUCUUUUUUAAAGAAAUAAAAAUUAAAUUCCAAGUUUGUUUUCAUAGUUUGUUCUCCUUCCUUUCAGAUGAAGAUGUACUAGAUUCACUGCACCGUUUUCGGCCCAGAUUUCUGGCUAAAUGUGAUGGCCUACCAACGUACUAUGAUCCUUAUGAAUUUGGCCAUGUGUGUCUUCUAGAAUCUCAGAGACAUGAAGAUGAGGUUGUUAUUGCUGCUGAUGAUGAACACAAUGAACCAUCUAACGAAACGAAAAAAUGUUGUGCUAUACCAUUUGUUGCUUCUGGUCACUUUCAGACUAUUAAUGUGGCUGAAAAGUUGUCACUCAUUGUCAAAGAGGUAAAUAGACUGUUUUCUUGUGCUUGGAUUUGUAUUAUUUCUGGCAUGCUAAUUGAAUUUCAUAUGCUUCCUGUGGUCACCAGAUAAGAGUUCAAUUGACAGAAAAUGCAUCUGGUAAGCAUUCUAGCUACACCGAAGCUGAUGCAUCUCGAGUAAAUGGGGAGGCGCCUUUAUGUGUAUAUUUUAUAAAUGGAUCCUGCAACAAGGGCAGUCAAUGCUUAUUUUCUCAUUCACUUCAAGCAAAAGUACCUACUUGCAAAUACUUUUUCUCUUUGCAGGUAUUUUGCUUUUGUGGCUUUAGUUUAUUCUAUGUUACUUUUACAUUAUUUAUGCAGCUUUAUGGUUUUAUAUAAGGACAAAUAAAAAGACACCCUGGUUUGUUGAAUAACUUCUCAACUUGGAAUUCUUGUCAUUUUACUAGUGUUGCCUACCCUCCAAAGGUUUGCAGGUGAAAACUGUAGUAUUUUGCUUGGCAAUUGGAAAACAUUGAUCGAGAAAGCUGGGUCAUCAGUAGCUGAAAAGUAUAUAAUAAUAACAAUAAUAAUAAAUGAUGAUUCAUGGAGCCAAUCCUGACUUGGUUUAAGAAUGACUUGUAGUCGAGUCUAGUUGAUAGUGAAAUUAACUAUGGUAUGUGGGGAGCUUGCAUUCAACAUAAUUAUUCUGCAAUUGCAAUUGCAGAUGGGCGAUGCUGCUGCAUUUUAUUCCAUGAGAUUUCACAACAAAAUUUAUUCCAUUUCUUGCUAUUUUUAUUGAAAUCUUUGAUAAUAUUUACUUUUGUAUUCUCAUCCUUGUUAUUGAACUUCUAUCUAAACGAGCACUUAUUUUUAAUAAGAAUAUUGGCUUAAAUAUCCCUUUUCCCUUAUUUCCCUGGAAAAUAACGUGGCAACUUGUUUGUAGUUGCUGGAUAACACCUACACUUGAUUUAGUUGUAAUUCUUUUGUGGGCUUAGAUUUUUUGGCUGGUUAAUUAUUAAGCUUGAGAUUCGCCUAGUGCAUAUGAUAGGUCAAUUAAAAUAUCCCAAGUAGAAGUAUUUACAUCUUCAUGUAUGCCUCAACUAUGUUAGGGCCAGUCUCAAAACAUUGUGUUACUGGUAUGAAAUCUCUUUUUGGAAGUUCAGCAUAAAUUUCAAAAUGCUUCUUAGACUGAUGGUAGUUUAGAAGUUUGAAUAAUUUCUGACAGUUGUGAGAGUUGAUAUGCAGGGUUGUCGAAAUGGAGAGUCAUGCUUCUUUUCCCAUGAUUUGGGUUCAUCAACAUCAUUUAGCCUGACUUCAACCCUGCCAGAGGAGGAUGACUACAGUGCUGCCUCCCUUCUUCAUUUGUUUCCAACAUCUUCAGAUGGAUGCAUUCUUCUUUUAGAUGAUAUUGAUUUGCAUUUCACCUCAAACAUAGCGCAUCACUAUGAUGCCUCCAAAAUAAUAUCCACAACAUGCAUGUCUGAAACUGCUAUAAGUUAUCCAUCAUUGGAAGGUGCCCGAAUUUUAUGGGGUCUCCAUCACCCGCAGCAGACAAUUGUUUGUAGUGCUGGGAGGAAUCCCAUUCCAUGGAAUGAAAUUAAGUGCAUACUAUGGUUCCCCAAUUUAGAUGGCAAUGUUGAAAAUUUGGAGAGGGAUAGAAUUCUUGUGCAGAAUUUCUUUGAACAUUUAGCCAUCAGAAUUAUAGCUGAUUCCUUGUAUGAACUGCAAAUUAUCAUCACUAUGAACAAUAUUAGAUUUUCGCUGUUACAGGUAAUUAUUUUCGGCAAAGCAUUCAUUUCUUCCUCUAUCUUUCGCUUAAAUUGCUAACCAGAUUGAUAAUAUUUUAUAAUAUCUUUGAAUUGUUAAGUUAAAAAGGUAUCGUGUCAUUUAUACUUGUGGGUACACCUGCAUUUUUGUGAUGUGUGGUCUCAAUUCAUGCUGUGGCUGUUGCUGUUGUAGGUGGAAAAGUUGGGCAGAGACAGCUUCUUUUUCCUCAGAGAGUCCUUUCCAUUUGAUGAAGCAAGCUUUGGGGAGCUAUCAGAUGUACUCACAACUAGGACGCCAAUGUUGGCGUCAAAGCCUAUAUCAUACGUCUUUGACUUGCAGCCACCUACUGAUAUUCAGUUUGAUGACUAUGCAGCCACUCUUCGCAAAUGUCUGCAUGAUAUUAACGGAUUGACUGAGAGGAUUGAGCUGCUUUGUUUAUGAUCCCAUAUCUUAUAUUGUGAAGUUAGAUUGUAAAUAUCAGAGACGGGAUUCACUAGAAGACGACCGCAUGGAUCUGCAGUAGCACUGUGACAUGACUCGAGUAUGUGAUGAAUUGAAGAUAAUAUUAGAUUCAGGUCAAGGGUAGUUACAUUAUUGUUAGAAUUGCUAAUUUUAUCAUAACUUUUGGUUCGGAGGAAGAUAGGGGAACCCUUUGUUAAAAAACCUCCCCCCUUCCUCCCUGUUUUAUUUUUCCUGGCAAAAACUGAAAUGUUCUCACGAGGAGAAGACCACAAAUCCUUUUUGCUGAGUUGGUGAGUUGGUUUCUGCUACGUAAAAAGGCAGGCAUGCAAAAUUUACCCGAGUCGUGAAAGUGUUUGAACCUUCAGAUGAUAUAAAAUUUUGAAAGCCAUGCUAUGUUCAAAUUACCAGAUGGCAUCAUUGAUGUGAUUAAUCGAAGGAUAUAAUCACUUGCUCAUCCCGAAAGCAGGAAAAAAAAAAUGUAGUCAUCCUGUAGGUAUUCUUCACAAGUUGUUCAACGUGACCGAUUUCUCCAGCAGGGUAAUCCUAGUGCUGGGCAAAAUCGGGCGAGUUGGGGUAGCGUCCCUAGCUAAUUUUAGGUCCUGAAUCACUUGAAAAUUCGAGAUUGAAUCAUUAUGUGAAGGGGGCAGCAUUGCAGUUGAGAAAUUCCUUGGCGGGUUCAGCCUAUUUGUUCUGAUAGAAGUCUAUCACGUUGAUUUAGAAUUCAUAGUAUAUAGUAACCAUGAUUUUUUCCUUUUUUCAAAAUAGAGAUUUAAGGAAUAAAAUUUAAAAUUUUUAAGAUUUGUUAAAAUGUAUUUGCCAGCAGAUUAAACGUAUGAGAGCUAAUCAUGAUUAAUUAUGCAUUUUGUUGAAGUGGCAUAACUCGCUGUCUAGUCUAUGAUCGAGGAGAGGAAUGCUCCAACAUCAUUUGCUUGAACAUGGAGCACCAAUAAAAAUUGUGCUUGAUUGUUUUGGAAAAAAAAUCCACAUUGUAAAGGUCAUUGGUCAUAAUUGGGAAUCUUUCCGAUACACUGCCAAUAAAAUAACAUUCAUUCUGUCCAAUAAAGAAGUAUUCUCUUAUGGAUUAAGAAAAUAGAUCUAAUACAGUUAAAAAAAUAAAUCUUAUAUUGUUUUUCUCAUAUACUAUCCCUUCAUGUUACUUUAUUAUUAUAUAUUCUUAAAACUAAUGAAUUUUAAAUAAGUUAUAUUCUAAAAAGGAAAGUAAUAUAUAAUAUAUGAUGAAUGAAAAAAUAAAUAAAUUUGUUUUUAUGGAACAUAGGAUCAAUAAGUAAUGAUAAACAAUCCAUCAUCCAUCCAAAUAAAUGGUUAGAACUAUCCCAUUGCAAAUGGCAGUCACAUUUGUUUUCUCUUUGUGAGACAUUGCUCUUAUAGGAGUGAUUUAUCUGAAGAGCUAAUGGAGAUUUUAGCAAUACCUAAAUCAAAUUUUAGUUUAAUAAACACUUUAAUUUAUAAAAAUUAUAAUAAUUAUAUUCGUUUACACUUACUUUUUUUUUUAUAUAUUUUAUAUUUCUAUUUAUUUUAUGAAAAAUAAUUUGUAUUUGGAAAAUAUUUUUUAUAAAAAAUAUUUUUUAAUAAAAUAAUUUAUUUUCAUUAUUUAAUUUUAAUUUAAAGAAUAAAAUAUAUUAACAAAUUUAUAUAUAAAUAUUUUAAUAACAUCUUCAAAUUGAAUUUCUAUUUUGAAAAGAAUUUUUUUAAAAAAUAAUUAAAAUUUUUUUUAUCAAUAAAAUAUUUUUCAUUGAAUGUUUUAAACUCUAAAAAAUUUACAAAAUAUUUUUUUAAAACAAACAAAAAUUGUAAUACCCGGCUAGACUCCGGUAUCGGAAUUCCUACCGUCCAGUGGAAUUUCGGGUGUCGGAGACCUCUAGAAGGGUAAAACUAUAUUUUUAUAAAAUGUUUUAAUGUGUUUUAUGUUUUAAGCAUGAAAAAAAAAUGAGUUUUUGCAUGAAAACAACCUUGGAGGAAAACUCAGGUUCGGCCGCCGAACCUCAAGUUCGGCCGCCGAACAUGCAUGCGUUUUGGGUGUGCCUUAGGCCCCCGAAANNNNNNNNNNNNNNNNNNNNNNNNNNNNNNNNNNNNNNNNNNNNNNNNNNNNNNNNNNNNNNNNNNNNNNNNNNNNNNNNNNNNNNNNNNNNNNNNNNNNNNNNNNNNNNNNNNNNNNNNNNNNNNNNNNNNNNNNNNNNNNACAGAGGGAUUAAUGUUUAUGUAUAUGAUGAAUAUAGUGCAUGCACAGGUUGAGUUUGGUGAAUGAAGAAAAAGAAAAGUUUUUAAUUCUUAUGUAUGUUUGUUGAUCAUGUAUAGGAUUAAACAGGUAAACAGGAUGUAUGUAGGCUUGCUACGGGUUCCGGCGGCCUUAAGCCGACCUGAAUCCUAGCGCCGGUAGCGGUCCGGAUUUCCGGGGCGUUACACUCUCUCUCUCCCAUUUUCCGAGCUAGGGUCGUUCCCCUCUCGAUCUUCAAGAUGUAAGGGCCGAUCUUGAGCUUAUGACAUGUUUUAAGUAAGUUUUAAGUAGAUUUAUGGGGUAGAAUGCAUGUUUAGCUUAUGGUUAGGUUUAUGGGUUUAUGUUAUGUUUUUGGACAAUGUGGAUGUUUGAUGUGUUGUAGAUGGGGUUUAAGAUAGUUUGAAGCCCCUAGAAACUUGUAUGCUUGAGUAUGUAUAUUGUAGAUUAGGAAAAAUGCAUGUUUGGAUGGUUUUGGGAGGCAAAUGUGCAUGAGGAGCCAAGUUUCUGCCCUUUUGCAGAAACCAGGUUCGGCAGCCGAACCUGCCUGGGAGGCCAGCCUUUCGGCUGCCGAAGCCUGCCCCCGAAAAGAGACUUUCGUCUCUGGAGGGCACUUUCGGCCGCCGAAGGUGCCGCCGAACCUGUCUGGCUUUCGGCUCUAGAGGGACUUUCGGCCGCCGAACCUGCCGCCGAAAGUGCCCUGUUCAGCCUUCCUUUGCAUGUUUUUGCAUGGAUGUUUUGAGGUGUUUUAGAGGGUUUUUGGGGGAUGUUUUUAGAGUUAUGUUCUAGUUGUUUGGUCCCUCAUUUGAGUCCACCUGUGUAGGUUCGGACCCGAGGAACCGAGGACCCCAGCAGUGAGUCAGCUGCUUCAGUCAGUGUCAGAGCUUGCCAGAGGUGAGUAGAAUAAACUCUUACGUUUUAAAUAAAUGAAAAACUUUAGCAUGAAUCAUGCAUCAUGAGUGCCAUGUGAUAUUCUAGGUUGCUUGCAUUAGAAUUCACGAAUAUGCUGCAUUGCAUAUCUUGAUGUUGAUGUGGAUGGAUAUUGGAUGACCCAUUGGUCCUCAGUAUGAUGAGACACGAUAUGAUAUGAUAUGGAAGUCCAGGUGUGGCUUGCACUACGCCCCUGGCACUAUGUAAGUGAGUCCGGGUGUGGCCUGCACUACGCCCCCGGCACAGUUGGACAUGUAUGUUAUGAGAUAUGUAAGAGAAAGACCAGGUGUGGCCUGCACUACGCCCCUGGCACAGUUGGACUAUGUAGAGGACCCUUGGUGAUAAGUCCAUCCUUGAUGUGAUAUGUGUAAUACCCGGCUAGAUUCCGGCAUCGGAAUCCCUACCUCUGGCGGAAUCUCCGUUGGAAUCUGGAAUUUUGAUGAUGCCAGAGUCUUCUUGAGGGGUAAAAGGUGUUUUUUCUAAAAUGUUUUUAUUGAUUUCAUGGUUUUAAAUGAAAAAGAAUUGAGUUUUUAAAAGAAAAGACCAAGGAGGCAUUUGCCAGGUUCGACCGCCGAAAGUAAAGUUAAGCCGCCGAAAGUAAAGUUAAGCCGCCGAACAUGGGAAGGUUUCGGGAGUGCCUUUGGCCUCCGAAAGCCUUGUUUGAAUGAACCAGGUUCGGCCGCCGAACCUCAAGUUCGGCCGCCGAACAUGCUUGAGUUUAGGGGGCAGGUUCGGCCGCCGAACAUGCUUGAGUUUAGGGGGCACGUUAGGCUGCCGAAGGUGGUUCAGCAGGCCACCUAUAAAGAGCCCUCAGAUCGGAAAUGGGCGAGUUUUCUCCCCAUUCUCGAGCUCAGGUGAGUCUUGGUCCUCCUUUGGUCAUUUUCAUGUUUUCCUCUACCAUCCUUCAAGUUUUCAUGAGAUCUACCUUUUAUUUUGAAGUUUUGAAGUUUUGAUCAAGGUUUUGAGAGCUUGGAGACUUGUAGAGCUUGGGUCCUCCAUAUCUCAAGCUUUGGGUCACACCAACCCUCGAUCUUCAAGAGGUAAGUGUAGAUCCUUGCUUCUCUACUGUUUUAACGAAGUUUUAGUAAGUUUUAAUGAUGUUUUGAUGGUUGAGUAUGGGUAGAUAUGCAUGUUAGGGUUUAUGUGGGUUUUGUGCCCAAAGUGCGUUUAUGUGAUGCUAUGUUGAAGGUUUGAGCUGGUUUAUGCAUGUGGGAGAGUGUAUGCAUGAUUGGGAAAGAGCAAGUGAGAUUAUGGGUUGUUUUGAUAGUUUUGGCCUAUGUGGGUCAUAAGCUAUCUAUGCAUGCUUUGGAUGUUGUUUUUGAAGUUUAAAUCUAGUUGUUAAGCUCCUUUAUGCAUGACUAAGGGUUUAUGCAUGGUUUUGAGAAGUUUAUGCAUGUUUUAAAAGGUUGGAUGCUUGUUUUGGGGGUUUGAGAGGCUUGUAUGCACAAGGGCUGAGUUCUGGAAGAACUCAGGUUCGGCUGCCGAAGGUGGUUUCGGCCGCCGAACAUGCCUAUGGAUGCAUGGAAUGGCCGCCAAACCUUGCCCCCGAAAGUUGUGUUUUGGAACCGAAGCAGACUUUCGGCCGCCGAAGGUGAUAUUCGGCCGCCGAAAGUGCAUGACUUUCGUCUCUGGAGAAAGGGUUCGGCCGCCGAAGGCGCCCCCGAACCUGCAUGACUUUCGUCUCUGGAAGGGACCUUCGGCCGCCGAAAGUGCCGCCGAAAGUGCCAUGUCCAGCCUUUUUAUGAGUGUUCUGUAUGCAUGUUUCUAUGAUGUUUUAAGAGGUUUUUGGGGAGUUGUUUAUGAGUUGUUUAGAGUAUGUUUGGCACCUCACUGGAGUCCACUUGUGUAGGAUCGGACCCGAGGAACCGAGGUGUUUAGCAGUGUCAGCCGUUUCAGAGUCGGCCCAGAGCUAGUCAGAGGUGAGUGGAACUAAACUUAAUGUUUUAAAUUAAGAAAUUAAAUGUUUUUAGAGCAUGAUCCAUGCAUCAUGAUAUGUAUUAGGUUGUUUUGCAUUAGAAUCCACGAAUAUGAUGCAUUGCAUAAUAUGUUGUUGAUGUGGAUGGAUAUUGGAUGAUCGUUAGCCCUCAGUAUGAGAUGACAUGGUAUGAUAUGAGAUGACAUGGUAUGAUAUAGAAAGCCCAGGUGUGGCCUAAUCGCCCCUGACAUCAUGUAUAUGUAAGGAAAGACCAGGUGUGGCCUAAUCGCCCCUGGCAUAGUUGGACAUGUUAUGAUAUGAGUUACGUAAGCGAAUACUAGGUGUGGCCUCAUCGCCCCUGGUAUAGUUGGACAUAUUUCGAUAUGUAGAGGGCUAAUGGUGACAAGUUCAUCCUUGAUGUGAUAUGUUUGUGUUGUGAUGCACUCCAUAAUAGCAUACUUUAAAAUGAACUGUCUUUCUUGUAUGUUUUUCAACUCACUGGGCUUUAUAGCUCACUCCUCUCCCCUAACCCCAGGUUUGCAGGGUCAGAGAUAGUCAGAAGAUCAGCAGGUUAUGUCUAUGGUCAGAUUCAUGUAAUAGAAUAGUAGUGGACAUGAUGUAAUGUAAAGUAAUGUAAAGAUGUAAAAGAAUUGUUAUGAUUUUAUGUAAUAUGUUCAGAGUUAUAGUAUUGUGCUUGGCCCGAGUUGGAUAAUCCCUUUGUGCAUGUGUUUUUAUUUUUAUGUUGAUGUAUGGGUUGGACCGAGUUUGACAUAGAGUAUGCUGACCCUAGGGGUUCUAUGAGUUCAGUCAUAGUGCAUACACAGGUCAAGCUGGUUAAAGACAAAUAUUUAAAUAUUUUAUGGAAAUGUUUAUUCAUGUUUGGGGAUUAUACCGACUGUACAGGAUGCAUAGUGCUUGCUACGGGUCCCGGCGGCCUUAUGCCGAUCUGGAUCCUAGCGCCGGUAGCGGUCCGGAUUUUCGGGUCGUUACAAUAUGGUUGUGAUGUGAUGCAUUACAUGAUAGCAUGUGUUUUAAUUGUUAUUAUUAUUCUGUUCACUGGGCUCUUGUAGCUCACCCCUUUCCCCUUAUCCCCCAGGUUUGCAGGUACAGGGUAGACCAGGAGGUCGGCAGGAGUAAAAGUCUGUUUUUAUGUAAUAGUUAGAAGUUGUGGACAUGAUGAAAUUGUAAUGUAAUGUUUUAUGUGGUCAUGAUAUGUAAAAUGAUAUUGAAGAUUAGAGGUUGUGCUUGACCCUAUGUGUAUGGUAUCCCUUUUUAAUGCAUGAUCACUAUUAUAAUUGAUGAGAUGAGUAAUCAAGCUUAAUGUAUGUUAUUGAUACCCCAUUGAAGCAUGUGAUGAGAGCUCCAGUGUGAGGUUUAUGGUUAUGUUAGUGUGUAUGCACAGGUUAAGCUUGAUUUAUGAAAGAAAAAGUUUACAUGCUUUUAUAUUUGUAUGAUCAUGUAUGGGAUUACACAGGUUACAGGUUAUAUGUCAGGCUUGCUAUGGGUCCCGGCGGCCUUAAGCCGAUCUGGAUCCUAGCGCCGGUAGCGGUCCGAUUUUCGGGUCGUUACAUAAAUAUUUAAUAAAUUAAUUUAAAGUUAUAAAUAUUUAUUUAGAUAUUGGUUGCUAAUCACAUUGCAAACCAUAAAAUAGCAACUAUAAGAAAUAAUUUUUUCAUCUUAUAAUUUUUAUUAACUUUAUUUUUUUACAUAUAUAUAAAAAAAAUUAUUAUUUUUUAAUUAUACUCACUUUUAAAAUAUUAAAUUUUAUUAAAAAUUAGAAGAUGUUUUGAAAUAUUUUUUAAAAAUAAAAUAAAAUAAAAUAGUAUUAUAAUAUUUUUUCAUUUGUUUCAAAUUAUGGAUAACUUUAGUUUUUAAAGAAAUAUUAAUUUAUUGGUUAUUUUUUUAAAUAUAUCCUUACAAUUCUAUAAAUAAUUUAAUGAUAAAAUAAUAAAGGUAGAAAAAAUUAAUAAAAAUAAUAUAAAAUUUAUUAUUUUAAAUUAUAUAUUAAUUGUAUUUUAUUAAGGAAUAAUCCACCUUUUAUGAUACGAGGGACCACCAUUUGGAGGAUGAUCAUUUUCCGCAACGACGCUAAAGCCAUUAACUAUUGGCGUCGACAAAGAUAUUUUAGCACGACGGGUGAUCUGUCAUGUGUGGCUCCAAUUAAUGGAGACCGACUUCAAAGUCCGACCUGUGUUCCACGCAGAUCUUUGCCAGAAAGCCAAUCACAUUUUCACAUACCAUUCAUAAUGGCAACUCUAUUUAAUCACUAUUUUAUUUAUUUCAAAUUUCAAAUUUCAAAUUAUUGAUUUAUUAACAUAUCUUAAUUUAUAAAAAAAAAAAAUAUUUAUUUUUAUUGAUGAAAUUAAAAUGCAUACUUAGACAGAAAUAUAAAUUUUGAUAUUUAUCGGAUUUAAAAAAUAUUUGAGGAGAUGAAAGAACAAAAGCCAAACCACGAGGAAGGCACCAGCUGCUUUUACUGUCCUCACUAUAAACAGAAAACCUCCCAACUGAUUGGUCCUACUUUAGCUUCUCUCCUUCCUUGGUCUUUCAUAUAUCUCCGAUGUGAAUAAGGAUCGGGAGAUAUGUGAAUCCGUCUCCAAACAUCUGCCAUCUUCAUUCUUUGUCCUAAACCCUCAAAAACAUCUCCCUCCUCUCCUCUCCUCUCAUGUCUCACAGGACCCUCGAUUCCCGGCACUCCAUUGACUCCUGUGCCUUCCAGCUCCAUUCCUGGAGACCUUUCCAUCUCCAGCCUCUCGACUCUGAUCCUCCUAAGCCUUACUCCACUAAUGCUCUCCACUCCCACUCCCUCACUAAGCGUCCUUGUCUCUCCGAUCGCGCUACUUCAUUUCCUGUUGAUUCAAUUGAUAUCUCUAAGCUAUCGCUUAUCGACGAUGACAAGCCGAUUGGUGUUGGUGCAAGUCCGUAUAAGCGAGGUAGCUUGCGGUUGAUCGCUCGCAAACGCCGGCGACGUGGGUCUCGUUCUGUAUCUGGUCGGAGCUCUGAUCGGAGUGGAACUCGACGAUGUUGCUCUGUUGGGGCGUCUGCUGCUCAUGGGACCUGCUCGGAUUUCCCGUUAGCGGUUGGUACUGACUCUAGCGGCGAGCUUUUUGUGAAUGGGGACGCUAAUUGGGCGUCGGAUGUGAGUGAAGCAAAGAAUUCAUCGAGGAGGGAGAGGGAAAGGGAGAGAGAGGAUAAAGAGAAUUUGGGUGUUGGAGUUGGGUUUGGACAGUUCGGAAAUUUCGAUGCUCAAGGGAACGAAUCUGGUUAUGGGAGCGAACCGGGAUAUAGGGGGGAUGCAGAGUUCGGGUAUGAGGAUGAGCUUGAUGAGGAGGAAGAAGACGCAAGGUUGCUGUUUUGGGGUGACCAAUUUGGAGGAGGUACUUCCUUAGCUUAGUUUACGUUUUCCCCCUUAUAUCUAUCGUGGGCAUUUGCGUUUUGCAGCCAAUUUGGUGACUCUGUAGAGUCUUCAUAUGCUACUUUCAUUAGAAUUGGAGUAUAUGUGAAGUGGGUUUUAGCAAUGACUGACAAAUGAUUUCUGUGUCGGUGUUAAAGUAGGUAUUGAUCUGUUUGAUUGAUUUCUUUUGGAGAAGAUUUUGUUUGAAAGGAUUUUAAUUCACCAGGGAUCUUUGGCGUAGGAAGGUGAAAAAGUAUAUUGUUUUCUGACUGUAUUUUACAACAAGAGAAUGUGUUUGCUGCUUGCUAAUCUGGAAAUGCAAUACCUUUUUAAUUCAUCAGAGUGGGUUUCUCUACCUUGAUUUAGAUAUCGAUAAAGAUUCCAAAAUAUUGCCUAUUGAUUGUGAUUGAUGAAAUCAGUUCAUACAACUGGCCUGAAACGGCAAGGAUCUCUGGUUUUGGUUUAUGAAUAAACUAUUUUUGUUUUGUUUGUGAAUGUAAUCUCUUAUUUUCUCCAUUCUUAUUCAGACUGGUGUCAAGAGCCAGCUGUUUUUCCAUAAAAUUUAGGACAAGCUUUUUUUUGUGUGUACAAUGAUGGGUCUUCUGCUAAGCUUAAUCGUCCAAACUUUGGCAUAGAAAUAUCUUGAUGGGUGCCUAGGGCCUUUGCUUUAACAAAAUCUGGAGGGAUCAAAGUAAGAUUCAUGCUCUUGGUCAUGAGUUUUGAUUAGAGAAAUGUAUAGCACAAAUAGCUGGUGGCCUAGUGGGUGACUGGUGAUUGGUGGGAUGGGUUUGAGUACAGCUGCAGUGGAUGUAGCUAAUGUCAGAAUAUCAUUGUUUAUGAAAACAAUAUUUUAGAAGCAAAAACUUACAGACACAAGUUAAAAUUGGAUAAAUAAAUUCUACUGAAUGCUUUUUAACGAAAACAUGGGGAGAAUAGGGGUAAAAGUUGCUGCAUGUGUUGUGUUUAAAAUUGUGUCUUUGGUUCAGUGGUUGAUCAUCAUCAAAUUCUUGAAUGCUCAGCUACAAGCCUCAUUUUAUCUUCCAUAGCAUGUGAAUGUUAUUGUUGAAAGACUCCAAAUAUCAUGAAUUGAUUAAAGCUUUUCAUAAAGUUUCCCUAGUUUACUGUGUUGCCAGUUCUACAAUUUAGUUGCAUGUGACAUGUAACUGUAGAAAGAUUGUUACUCUCACCUUCUUUAUUCAAAUGAUUGUUACUGUUACCUUUUCCCAUGAAGUGGAAAUUUUCUAGUAAAGCAAUUCUAGGGAACUGGAAAACUCUCAAAACGUAAACACUCCUUAAGUAUCUUUGGUUUUCUGCCUAUAUGUCUCUGCACUUGGUUCACUUAAAACAUAUAUAAGCUAAAGUGUAACUGUUUAGGCAUUUAUCCAUGAUUGAAUUUUGAUGAAGAUUCUUACCAUUAUGUCCCUCAUUUGUGCCUGGUAUAGAUACUAAAAUGGAGAUGGUUGGCGAGAACACAUUCUUGGAUCAAAAGGUGCAUUACAGAUGUCGUCGCAAGAAGCACGAUUGCAGAAUGGUUGAUUCACUAAGAUAACUAUUCAAUACGAUGGUGUCCUUGUCACUCUUGUUUACUUGAAAGUGUCACGAGUGAUUUGAUAAUGAUACAGGUUAUGACCUUUAUGCGGUUGCUUACCUUUUGCUUUCACUUGCCAAUCUUUGUGAGAUUGUUGCAGCUGGUUACCUCUGCGGGGAUUGGAUUUUGCUCUUGGUUUUGAUGAUGUUAUACAUUUUUGAAGACUUCUUGAUGUGCAGUACAUUGAACAACAUUAUUGUUGCUAUUAUUAUCAUCAGAAAAUGUUGUUAAAUGCGUGGACUUUGUUCCUUGACUAACUUCAUGUAUGGAGCUCAACAAUGUCGGUCUUUAGGCUUGCUUAAUACACUGCUAAGCUGUGACUCUGUCUUGCAAAGAAACAAAAUUGUGGAUUGGAUAAAUGAAAAGGGAACGUUCCUGGAGAUGAAUAAUUUCUUAGAAAAUUACUAGAGUUCUAUUGAUUUGAUCCUCCUGGCUCAUUUCUUUGAUGCUGGGGAAAGAAAUUCUCUGGAUUCAUGGAGAAAUGAAUCUAUAAAUAUACUUGGUGUUACUUCACUAUAGCCUAAAAAUAAAGAAUAGGCUGUUUAAAGUUGAUUUCAAUGUUUAUUUAUUUUUAUUUUUUUUUUAAAAAGUGAAACUAAAAAUUGGUGAAUCUAUUUUCUCAUCACUCCUGAAAAGUGAAAACUAUAACAAUUUGUGGCUCUACCCAAGUUAAUUAUGAGAUGGAAGGGCUUUUUAUCAAAUUUAGGGUUGAAAAAAAAUAUAUUUGCCAAUUUAGAAUUGAAGUAAAAAUAUUUGAAAAUUUGGAAUUUUGGUUAAAAUAUGUUUGAUAUUUUUAAAAAAGCGUUAAAUUUUUUUAUUUUAAUAAUGACUUGGUGCCAUUCAUUAUUUAUUUAUUUUUUAAAAUAAUGGCUUGUCGCGGCAAUGUUAUUAUUUAAUUUUUUAUUUUUUUAAUUAUUAAUAUAUUAUAAUAAUAUAUUUAUAUUAUAUUAAUUUAAUAAUUUUAUUUAUAUUAUAUUUUUAUAAUAAUAAGUUUUUUAUAAUAUAUUUUAUUAAUUUUAAUAUAUUAUUUUAAUAAAAUUAUAAUUAAAUAAUUCUAAUUAUAAAUUUAUAUGUCAAUUAUAAAUUUAUUAAUAUGAAAUUAUUAUAUUUUAUUAUUUUUAGUAUAUAUAAAUACUAUAAAAAUUAAUAAUAAUGAAAAUUAUACAGAAUAAUAUUUAGAAUUAUGAUGUUAUUGUAUUAUUAAAAAGCGUACAAAAACACUGAAUUGAAUAAUUAAUGAAAGAGAAAUAGAUAAUUUAAAAUUUUGUGAUUAGAUUAAUUAAUUUAUUUGUUUCUACUUAAUAAAUUAUAAAAAAUUAAGUGAUUAUGGUAGGAUAAUAUCAGUAAAUUUAUAAAUGCUAUUGCCUUUUACCUCUAUGACUCGAUACUCUUACAUUUUGCUUUUUCUUAAACCUAACUUUUUCUUUCUCCUUUUUCAUAGAAAACGAUCUCCGCCAAUUGACUAUCGAUUAAUAAUAAAAUAUUAUUAUUUCUAUUAAGAGUUUCAGAGAUAUUUUAAUCAUCACUUAUGAUCUCUGUGUAGUAGAAAUGUUUCUCACACAUACAAUAUAAUUAAUUUUCAAAAUAUGCAGAUUUUUUUGGCAGAUAUAUAAUAUCUUUAAAAAGAAUAUCUAUUAUGAAAUUAGAGGUAAAAAAAUAUCAGUUUCGAUUUUUUAAUAAUAUUGAUUUUGAAAAUAUAGUGAAUGAGUCUUGUACAAUAUAUUCUUUCUUGUUUGGAAGGAGAUACAAGGUAAUGAAAAUUCUCUUCAUAUACCUCUAACUCAUUUUGUUUUUAGGUUCUAAUAAAACUUCUCUUCUGGUUAUUAUAGCGAAACUUGGCUAAAUUGGUCGGAAAUUUUGAGCUUGAUGAGGAGGUUUACUGGUUAUUAUGAGUUUCCGGAAUCGCAACGACGACGUCAGUCUUAAAACCUUAUUCGAGUUUUAUCUCGUAGAAAUUCUUUUCCGUGACCUUAUUCUUGAAACUUUAAUGAUUUAUGCUUGAGAGAUGAGAAAUAAGGAACAUUUUUACCAAAUUAUCUUAUAUAAGGAUUUAAACACAGACAGUUGAGAAAUAUUUUUGUCAAAUUAUUUUAUAUUUUGAUUUUAAAUAAUUGUAAAUUUUUGUUAGACUCUAAAACUUAUAUUUUUAUUUGAUGGUUCGUCGCAAUAUUAUUUUAACUGUUCAUACUUUGACUAGAAAAUCUAUUAGAUAUAAUCGUUUUUGUUUGGGAUGAUAUUCCUGUUUAUUUGAUAAAAUUUUAUUAAUACAAUCGGUAAUUUUGUUUUAAAAAAAUUAUUAUAUUUAAUAUAAUUUAUUAUUUUUAAUAUAUAGAGAUAUUAUAAAAAUUAAUAAUAAAUAAAUUAGAGUUAUAAAAUAAUAUUAUUAUGUGAUUAAAUGUAUAACAGAUGAGAUACUAUUUAAUUAUAAUAUUAUUUUAUUAAAAAUAAUAAAAUAUAUUAUAAAAAAUAACUAAAAUUUUUUAUUACCGAAUAGAUUUAUAUAAUAUUAUUAAUUUAUUUUUAUACAUCUAAUUAAAAUAUAAUAUUAAUUUUAUAAUGGUGAAAUUAUAUACUAUUAAUAAUUUGUUAUUUAAAUAUUAAUAAUAAAAUAUAUUAAAAAUUAUAAUGUCAAUUGAUAUUCUAAUCGAUAUAGUUGAAAAAAAAAAUAGUGCUUUUAUAAAAAAUACUAGAGACAUAUAUUAACCAUCAGUUGACGGUUAAAUUUUAAAUUUAUAAAUAUUUGUAAUCUAACUCUUUUUUUUUUUUUUAACUCUAAAUUAACAAAACCCAUAAAGUUCUUCUGCCGGCCACUCGAAAGAAAUUGCCUGGAUGAUUCGGGUUUCACCUGUCGCAUCUCCUCCCUGUAAUUUAUCUGUUUAAUAGAAUCUGGAGAGCCUUGGUAAAAUGCAAUUGCAUUGGUAAUUGGAAAAGGUCAAAAAAAAAAUGCCUUUUACAAUUAUUUUGUUUUUAUUUUUAUUUUUAUUUUUAUUUUUUUAAUUAUAGUUUAUUACAAUUGGUGGCUUUACUCAAGUUGAGGUUUUAUUUUAAAAAAUUAUAAAACACAAUAAUUAUACUAUAUAAAAUAUUUACAUGAUAUAAUAAAUUAAUAUAAUAAAAACUAAAAAUAAUUAUUUUUAUGAAAAAAAUAUUAAUUAAUUAAUAUAUUUUAAGAAUUCGCAUAUUUACUUUUUAAAAUGUGAAUAUUUAUUUGUCAACUUACUGCGUAGGGAAUGGCACAACUACUCUAUAAUUACUCCUAUAUUUUUGGUGGACCUAAUUUUGUCUUAAGUUGCCCGACACCGCAGUUUUUAGUGGUUGCGCCAGCGAAAGAAACUCCACGACGUCGUAUUAGUGCCGUUUAAUAUAUGCGUUUGAAACGAAACCUGUGGCCUAUCAGUCUGAGAGAGAGAGAGAGAGAGAGAGAGAGAGAGAGAGAGCGCAAGGAAAUGGUGACAGAAGCAUUGAUCGCUUACAGAAGUCUACUUCGAGCAACUCGGAAAUCUUUCGCUGGGGACUCAGUGAUGCUGAACGCGUCAGCCUCCGAGGUCAGGAAGAAAUUCGAGGAGAAUCGUCAUGUUACGUCUCAGACUGAGAUCCAAAGGCUCCUGGAAGAAGCUCGCGAAGCCUCCGAUUUCAUCUCUACCAUGAUCGUUCAAGCUAAACUCAACGAACGAGGCGGCUAUGGUAUUGUUAGGCACAGUGUUAAAAUUUAUUUUCUAUUACCCCUGGUUGUUUUACGCUUUGAUUUGUUGAAUUGUCUAGCGCUUAAUCACUUUUCUUCUUAUGCGCGCCACAUGCUUGUUAAAUUGACCAUGUUAAGGACUAUGAAUUCGCUGCGGUAUCAUAUACGGCUAAACAAUCCAAAAUGUCAUUAGUAGUCACCCAAAACCAUGCAUUCCUUUUGGGAGAUGGGUUUGAACUUAAAAAUCUUUACCUUCUACAUUUAAUCCCAAUUGAGAGCUAAGAAAAUGAGCAUUUUAGUGGCUAAUGGAUCCAUCAGCUUUCAUUUACAUAAUUAAAAAAUCUCAUAGAGGUUGAGUUACCUCCAUUUACAUUCCAUCCUUUAACUCGUCUUUAACUUUUAACCUGCUUUCAUGCAACACCUAAUAACUGUUCAUGCCAAUGCUGAUUGAUGCAGAGAUGAAGCUUGGUCAAGAACAUGCUGGAGCAACACUUGACGUUCCAUCUGAAGAGAUCCUUAAGAAGUCUGUGUAAGAUGGCCUUAAUGGCAUGAAGUAGGUUGUGUCCUGGUGUGUGUUUGGUGACUGGCACUGGUGAUACGUUUUUAACAACCUUCUAUCUGGAUCUCCUUGUGAAGGAUUAUCCUGUUCGGAGUUGUUGACUUCCAUCAAUUACUAAACUUAUUUUUUUGGUUGAACCAAAGUAGCAACCAAUUUUUUAUGUGCUUCAUAUGUAUGCCAAUAUAUUCUGCACUAGAACGGUUGUCAUUGUUAAAAGAACUUAUCCUAGGGUCUUUUGCCUUUCAGUUGCUUAAGAUUUAUGUGCCUAUUCUUGAAGGCCAAAUCGGCCGGCUGCUGCUGCAUUAUUUAACGAUUCCUUAUUUUCUUAGCCUAUUAACCCGUUUUUUUUUAAACAAAUUUAUUUAUUGUAUUAAUAAAAUUCCAUCAAACAAAUUCCAUCUUUGUAAUCAAACAAAUUCCAUCAAACAAAAGUAGAUAUCAUCCUAAACAGAGUGAUUAUUAUGCUUCAUAGCGUUAUGACGAACUUAUUUAAAAGAAAUCUAAAAUGUUAAAUUUACAAUCAUUUAAAAUUAAAUCUCUGUAUAAGAUAAUUUGGCAAAAAUGAUCUUCAAGCGGUUGUUUAAACCACUACAUAAGAUAAUUUGGUAAAGAUAUUACUUCUUUCUCAUUUCUCAAAUAUAAAUCAUUAAAAUAUCCUGAAUAAAGUCACGGAAGAGAGAGGUUCUACAAGAUAAAGUUCGAAUAAGAUUUCAAGACUGACGUCGUUAUUGCAAUUCUGAAAAUCCAUAAUAACUAGUAAACUUCCAUUGAAUAUUACUUUCUGAAAUAAUCGAAUCAAUAAAAUUUAAAAAAAAAGUCAACUACAGAAAUAGACCCACGACUCUUUCACAUUAAUGAAAGGUCUUCUCCCAAUCCUUAUCUAUUGACUAGAAUCAACCAUCAAAAUGUAAAAAAUUAUGAAAAAAUUCCAUACGAGAACUAAGAGUUUUUAUUUCCAUUAAAAAUAAAAUGUCCGACUUGUAACUAGAAACCAAAUUUUUCAAUAAAAUAAUUAUCCAAUGAUUUCCGUCAUAAAUCUAUCAAAAACGAUAUGCAUAUUCCAAAAAUUGAUUGGAUUAUAUGCGAAAAAUAUUCCAUCAUACAAAAAUUAUAAAAAAUCAAUUGCGAACUGACGUUGAACUUAUCCUUGCACGUCAUGGCGGUGCUUAUAAUUUGGACCUUUAAGACGAGAGAGUAUAGAGAUCCAUUAAGAAUCUACAACCAACUUGAACGCAUCCACUACGAAUCAAUUGGCCUAGCAUUAAGAAUCCUGUAGAUGGUCUUCAACUACGCAUUAUAACAAUACUAUUCAUCUAUUGUCGAAUUUUUCAUAUAUUUUCCAUUGAGCAUUUCUCCGCAAUUGCUAGGACUCUGUUAGAUCCCUUAAUAUUACAAGAGCACGACUCAUGGAUAAGCUUGAUUCAGCAAAUAGAAAGAACCUAGUUUACAGGACGCUUUAAAAUGAAAUCCUUCACGCCAUGGAGAAACAAAUGUUGAGCCCCAUUGCAUCUUUCUUCAAAGUUCAAUAAUACGUAUAUUCUGUAAAGACUUGAAUAAAGCAGAGAUACAAAUUCAAAAAAGAUUACAGAACUAUUCCUAUUCAAACCCUCGACGAAAAACAAAAUCAUCCAGAGUAAGCGUCUCUUAUGCGCUCACAUCCGUCUCCUUCACUGAAAGGACCAAUGAUGCACUGUGGUUUACUCCAUUGGCUAGACACACUCUUCUUCAUCCUCUUCCUUGUUUUCUUCAAUAUCAUCGUCACCAUCAUCAUCACCCUGAUUAUCUUCAUCCUCUUCCUGAUUUUUCUGAUUUUCCUCCUGCAUUUUCUUGUCUCUAACAACUCCUGGGGAAGUCAAACAAAUGUAAGCUUCACAAAUUAAUUGCUAGCAGAAUUAGUUGUGCCGCACACCUUUUUUUGGAAAAAAAGAAUUAUUAAAAAAGUUUAACAGGAAAGGAAUGCAUAUAUUCAAGUCGAACAUAGCAAACUGCCAGCUCCUUGAAUCUAUACUAACACUCCGUUUGCUUUACGAAAAACAUUUUUCAAAUGUUGAAAUUUGGGACUCUGAAAAAUUAAUCAAUUAAAAAUAUUUUCCCCUUUUUAAGGGGAAAUGACAUUUUUUUUUUUUUUUGAAAAAGAGCUAUUUUGUAGACUUUGAAAAUCUUGUUAAGACAACAAAACUUCCUAUACAUAAAUUCAUUAAUAUCCUUUGUUUUUUAACAUUGCAAUCAAAUAAUAGGAACUAAAAUUAUUUUCAUGUACAAGUUAUGCUUCGAAACAAAUGGCACCUAAGUAUGCUAAUAAACUGCUUUGUGGCUGCGGGACUAGAGGUUGAACAUUUUUGGCAAAUUAAUGGAUGAUAAAAGAGCUCCAGACAUCUUGCUCGACAUAGAGGUAAACAGGAAAACCAGGAAACUGGGAGGACAUAAAUUAAAAAGCUUACAGAAGAUAAGCACUAAAUAGACGUAGCUUAACAGAAAAAUAAAAGAGCUUAUAACAUAUCUAUACCAACAACAACUGAAGCAUAGCCAAUUAAUUAUGGCAAACAAAGCAUGCACAACCAAUGACAUCCCAAUACUUGGAUAACUGAAAGAUAGUCAGAUUGUUUAGUUUAUGGAUAAACAUUUCCCCAAAUAAGACUCUAUCCUAUAUUCUUCCGGAACUUGUUAUGAGAUUAUAAUUUAUAAGCAACAUGCUGCAAAAUACACAUACCAUAUUCACUGAAAAUGACACUGCCAGAACACAAUCCCUCCUCAAUCUUGAUGAGUUGUAGAGUCAUUCUGGGUCCAAUUUCCUGAAGCUUGACAGCACUUUUUGUAGAGGCCCUGUUAACUCUACCAAGGUCACUAACCAGUGUCACAGUUGCUGCUUCAUCAUCUGCUUCACUUUCUGAUCCAUAACCCGCCCUUCAAAGAUCACAUAAAAAUCAACAGAAAGCAAUAUAAUCACAAUUAUCACAGAAUUGAGCAUUUUCUGUCUUCGGUCCCCCACUUUUUCUUUUUAUUUGAUAUAAUUCAAUUAUACAGAUAUGAGUGGAACAGCAAUAAGCUAGGCCAGAUACUUGCACACAAAAGAAAAAAGGUUGGAUAAGUAAUGCAAAGCAACAUAUGAUAAGAACUUAGAUUCUUCUCACUUGAAAAGGGAGGGGUGGAGGGGCUUAUCAUACACUCACAAUGAUAAAUUGGUGAUAAAGGAAAAUAAUGCAACUACAUAGAAGUUAGUGUUGAGAAUUUUACCUCCUACAUAAUCUUACAUAAGAUUAUAUAAGGUGUUCCAUGAUCAUUCUUUAGGUAAUAUCAAGCAAUCAACUAUAUAAUAUAAAGCAAAUUAGUUGUAUAAACUCCUAUCUAUAUUCGUCAUCUGAGUUUAUCUGUCUCAAACCCAAUAAAUGAACAAAUGUAUUACAACACUUACUUAGUAACAAAGUCACUCACGUCUUGGAGACUCCUGAGAUCAGGGACUUGAUGGUUUUGUACAAACUUUCUUAUUCUACGGGAGACGCCCACAGGUUGGAGUCUGAUGGAAUAAUGCCGAAAAUCAAUAAGCUUUGUAUCUUUGUUGUAACUGAGCAACACAAUUCUCUGGCAAGAGGCAAGUUUGACCUAAAACAUCCCAAUACAUAUAUUAGAGAGGGAAAGGUCUAACAGGUUUGCAUACUUAAAUUAACUUUUUAAACACUUACAGUGUUGAUAUCAAUGGCUGGAAAGAUGUUCUGAAACAUUAUAGUUGUGAGCUUCAGAUGUUGCUCACCUGACCCAAAACCAGAUAGAACAAUCUGCCAAAAAAAUUGUAAUUGCUCUAGGGUCAAACAAAUAACAAAAACUAGAUUUCAGUCACCCAUUCAGAACAUAGGCAAAGAUGUGGAAUGGAAAAAGAUUGUAAAAGCAAGAACUUGACAUUGAGGUACUGAGGUCACCAUCAUAGCACUGUAUGAAAAAAGAUUUUCUACAUUUUCAUGCAUCAAACCUUCAUUAGAUUUUGAUCACUGAAAAAAAAAAAGAUACUAAACACAUAAACUCAUGACAAAUGAUUAUGAAAAUUCAACCCUAGGAAACCGUAUGAGAAAUGGGAGGAAUAUAUAGCAGACCCCUUUACUUAUAUCUAUUACUCUGUGAAUCUUCAGAAAACCAUGCCAAACAUAGAUAAGAGGGAAAUAGUUCAUAUGAAGUGAAUGGCUCUAUUUGUGUAGGCCUUCAUAGAAAGGCAAAAGUUGACCAAUGAAGCAAAAGGUGAGCCCACUUUAGAAAUCUCCUUCACUCUCCCAUACCUCAGCAAACUAAAACAAUUACAAACUAAGAUAAUUGGCUGGAAAGUUUGAUGUGAAUGCUUAAUUCUCUUUGUGUAGGUGUUACGGUCCAGGGUUAUGGAUCACGUCAGGCUUACAGUAAAAUCAGCAGUAAAAUCAGUGUCCAAGGCUGAAACCGAUGGUUUUCCUUGAUGCUUUCCUCGCUCAAUUGUUGUUGUUGUUGUUGUGAGCUCAAUAAAGGGAGCUCUAACCUUUUGAACUCGAUGAGAGAGAGUUACAUAUCUCAAUUUAGAUGAAAUAAUUUUUCUGAUUUUUCAGCAAUAUAUAUAGGGAUAGUGUUAAUGUCUACUAAGAUAGGAGUCCUCAGGAAUAAGAAAACUAAGAGAUAAGAUAAAACAAUCUAAUCCUAAAAUAAAGGAUAAAGCAAUCUAAUCCUAAAAUAAAUUAAAUACUAGAAAAGAGUCCAUAACAGUAGGUGUCUCAAACUUACAGCAAGGCGAAAGACCUUACCAAUGGAGGAUUUUUGAAAAGAUCUUGAGGGCAUCUAGGGCGUAAUUGAGACUGUGCAACAUCUUGCGCUAAUGAAUACUCAUGUAUCUUAAAAGUAAGUGUUGGGCCUUGAGGAGUCCUUGCAACCCUCAGAUACGGUGCAGUUUCAGUUUUUGACAAUAUAAGGAAAUGCGUGACACCCAUAGGCCCUGAAACAUUCAAAAAGUCUCUGAGAUUAUUUCGUUUCUUCUCCUGCAACCAAAAAACAAAAAUUCAGACGUGAAUUCAACAAUUACAGCAUAAACUCCCUUAUUGUGCACCAAAAUCACUUUAUUCUUCCCAAUCAAAUUUCAAACACUUUAUCUGACGAAUAAAAGGCGACAUGGAAAUUAUGCAUUACCCUGAGAUUGAGAGCUGUAUAAGGAAGCAUUAACUUUCUUAGAUCCAUCUGAAGUUGCUUGAGAAGACUGGGCAACUUCCCUCUCGAAAACACAAAGCUCUUUGGGAUCUUAUCACCUGUGACAUGAUCUAUAUUGCCUUGAUUCUUUUUCACAGCUGGCUUCAUAGAUACCUUCCUCCUCUUCUGUUUAUACAAAUAAUAGCAGCCCAUUACACCAAAAACAUACACAUUCACAUAACCCAACUCAAUAUUCUCGAGGAAGAUGGAAUAAUAAUUUUUUUUAUAAAAAAAAUCCCCGGUAAAUACUAAAUUUCAAAACCUACAAGAGCCAAAUUUUCUUAUUCCAUUUUGUUCCUCCAUUUAAAAGCAAAUCAUUAUUUUCUCGCCGACCAAACAGAGGUUAAAACAUAAACAAACCACCAAAAAGAAAAAAUCAAUUCACUCACACUUCGAAAUCGAGCCAUCUGCUUCACAGGGAAAUAACAAUUCGAAUUUCAAUCAAAAUAUUCGAGUCUCCCUCCUUGAAAAGCCGCCUUUCAGUAAGCCACCAGCAGAAACAAAGACUUGAGCAUCAGGGUUUAGCCGGGGGGUUCUGCUUUUUGGGGAAUUUAGGUUAGGGCUUAUAGAUGUAAUUUUGGUCUGGUUUGGGCAAAUUCUAGGUCCUGUAUCAGAGUCCAUAAUGGGCCCAUCCCAUAUAUCCAUUCUUAAAUGGGCCCAAUUCAAAUAAUCUAUGCCCCCACAUUGUUCGCCUACAAUUUUUGUUCCUUGCAGAAUCAUGCGAUUUCAGUCCGCGACUACGAGGAUUCAUCAUUUCUCUUUUUAGCUAUCCUUAAUUCUUGUUUAGAUGCCUACAUAACCUAAACAUGUCUGCUCUAUGAUCCCCACACCAUUCACGUAUCAAAAUCAAUAUCUAAAUAUCAAAGGUGAUUAUAACUGUUUCAGUGAAUAAAUAAUGUCAGCCUAUAUAUCUCUCUUCUUAUAAAUGCUAAAUAAAUAAAUAAUCGUAUUAUUUUUAGCCUCUCCUAAAACAUAAUUAUUUAUUAAUUUUCAAUAACUCACCUAAAAUAAUAAAUACAUGGUAUUACAUUAUAAAAAAUUAUUAAGGCUUGAUGCAGCAAUUAAAUUUAAAUUUCUAAAAGCCUCAACUGAAGAUAGAUUUUUCUUUUUUAUAUAUUAAAAAAUAAAUAAAAAAGGAACUGAAGAUGGAUGUUGCCAUUCAAACGAUGGAGGUUGGUACGCCGAAACAGAGGAAGCGCAAAAUUAAAUACCAAAUAAAUAAAUAAUACGAGCAUCAAACGUGGGAAAUGAAUAAAUGGUUAGGCACCACGUGUAAGGUGGAGGGUCAACGUUGCUUAAGAACGAAAGUUACGGCGACGUGCCAUAUAAGUGGUCUAUUCACAAAAGGUCCCACAUGACCAGAUCUCACUGGGUCCCUUUCGGCUUUUGUACGUUAUUGAGGUUGAGCCCACGACCAGUCAAGCACAGCCCAGAAACAACGACACUAGUAAAGUUAAAUCACAUUAGAAUUAGUUUUAUAAUUAUUAAUUUAUAUAUUAAUAUUAAUAUUUACAUAAAAUUGAUUAGUAAAUAAUAAAUAUAUGAAUUUUAAUUAAUUAUAAAAUGCAUUUUUUAGACGAGAUUGAGUUUGCAACAAUGAAACAUCAUUUUUUUUUCUUUUUAAGUAAACUAUGAUUUUUUAAGUUUUAUGAUAAUAUAAAAAUUAAAAAAUAUUCACAUGUUAAUAAUGUAAAAUAAUUUUCUAGAUCAAAAGCUAAAAAAAAUAUUUUGCUUUUAUGUAAAAUAGUUAUUAAUGUAAGAUAUUUUGCUUUUAUGAGAGAUAUAUAUCCAUAAAAUUGAUUUAAUUGUUGAAUGUUAGAUAGUUAUUAAUGGUUGCUAAUAAAUGUAAUGAAUAACAGAUUGUAACGGAUGACUCAUGAUGAUAACCGAGUCCUGAAUAUUUUAAUUCUGAUUGAGUACUUAUUGAGAAAGUCAUGUCUUAACUUUAUUAAAACUCAAUAUAUAGAUUUGUUUCACAUCAAAACUCAAACUUCACUUUGAUGAGUUGGAUUGGACUCAAGUCUAUGCAUGGAGAUUUGAUCAUGCUUAUUCUUCUAAUUCCGUGAGACAACAAAUCUCGUGACGUUUGGGAUCGUAUUCACAUGAUAUCAUAUGAAAUUAAAGGGCCACCUGACGAUGAAAAAGAACACAGUAUGUAUGUAUGCACGACCAACAUGACUAUAAUAGGAGGGUACAAACGCAAAAUGACAGUUACAUGUCAUUAGAUGACAAAAGGGAAAGGAAUAAAUGAAGCAAGAGAACAAACCAUAAUAAAUUUACUAAAUUACACAUUGAGCCUACAUUUUACUGGAUCUUAGAACAUCAAAUUAUAAUUAAUUUUAAUUAUUAUAAUUUAGGUGUUGGUAAACUAUUUUUAAUUAUUAUUGUUUAUAAUUUAGAUGUGGGUGACUGGUCUCGAAAAUAGAUCGCUGACAUCAUAAAACCGGUUGAGAAGAUGAAUACCUCAAUAAGGUGGAUAACCGGUCUCGAAAAUAAGACUACUGACAUCACAAAACUAAUUAAGGAAACGAAGAUCUCAAUAAAGUAGGUGAUGGGUAUCAAAAAUAAGGCCACGGCACUAUAAAACCGAUUGAGAAGACGAAAAUCAUGUUAAAGGCUCAUGUUGGCAAAGCUACAAGCUAAAAGAAAUGAGUUAGGAGGCACAAUGCUAACCUUAAAAAAUGACCUAAGGAUUCACAAAGCCUAAAGAAAAAGGAAAACGAAGCUAAAGUUUGAUCCCGAUCUUGUCAAAUAGCUCGACUCAUAGAAAAAUUAAGCCAAGGUCUGAUGUCGACCUCAUCAAAAAGCUUGACUCACAGAAAAAUAAAGGUUUAGUAUCGACCUCACUAAAGAGCUCGGCUCAUAGAAAAAUAAAAUCAAGGUUUGAUGUCAAUCUCACCAAAGAGCUUAGCCCCAUAAAAAAAUAAAGUUAAUACUUAGUGCCAACAUCAAAAAAGAGGUCGUCACCCCUAAAAUCCAAAGGGAAAUAAAUGUAAGGCAUAAUUUCAUUCUCGAAAAAAAUGGGCUUGGCACCCCUAAAGUUCAAAGAAAGUUAAAAUCAAGGUAAAGAACUAUAUAAAAACUAGAGACAAUAACAAAUAAAAGCCCGAGUAGCUAAAGGCUCAAGGAGAACAAAAGACAGAAAACACUAAGGUAUUCGAUAAAUAAAGUAUAAAACACAAUAAGUUAGACACUUUACAAGCAAAACAUCAAACGAGUAACCAGUCUAGCACAACUCACAAGCAAUAUACAUAAAAACAGUCUAAAUAUGAGAAUAUAAAUAAAAUUUAAAUAGACCAGAAAAAGGAAAGCGAGCAUAUGAAAAAUAACAAAAGAACUUAAAAUUUUAUUAAUGUAAUUAGCCAUUGGAAUGAGUUACAGAAAUAGUAUGGGAAGGGGAGCAGAACUGAUUAAGUCAUUUAUAGGAUUAUUGUUUACAGAAUUUCCCCUCUGCAGCCCAGAGGGCAAAGGAUGAAGGUUCUUGGAUAAGGGGUUGUCGUCCUUCUGUAGCAGAUCUUUUCGCUAUUAAAAUUGAGUUUGAGGGCUCGCAGGUCAGUCAACAGAGUGGAGGGGACAUUUUGAAUUGCUUUAAAGCCCUAGUUAAAGCCUGAAGCGAACAUGGAGAAGAUUUAUUUGUAUACUCAUAUAGGUCUACUUCACAUGUAAGUCCAAACUUAUUUUGAUGAGUCGAACCGCACUUUAGUCUAGCAUCUCGAACUGCUUUAAAGUCUUAGUUAAAGCUUGUAGCGAACAUGCAGAAGACUUAUUUGUAUAUCCAUAUAGGUCUAGUUCACUUUAUUAUAUUAGUUAAAGAAAUAUAAAAGUAUUAAUUUAUUAUACAAUAUAUAUUAUAAUUAUAAAAAUUUAAAAAUAUAAAUUUUUUAUUCACAUAUAUAUGAUUUUUAUCAUACAAUAAUGAAUAUAAAAACUAUUUUAAUUAGUAUUUAUAUUAUUUUUAAUUUAAUUAAUUUAUUAAAGUGAAGAUUUUAAUUUAAAAUAUUAUAAUUAAUAAAUUAUAAAAAGAUAAUAUAAUCUGAAUAAAAGAUAAAAUUAAAGUAGUUAUCAGCUAACAUAAAAUAACUCUAAGAAUAUAAUUAAUUUAAAAUGCAGUUAAUAAGUCUUAUCUCAAUUAUUUAUAACUAUUUAAAUAUUUAUCAACUAUUAAUUAUAUUUAAUUGUUAAAUUAAAUAUUUUUCAAUCUGAUUUGUGAGUUUUGAGUGCGUAGAGUAUGUUAACGUUUUAUAUCAACUUGGUAAAAGAGGAUAAUGUGCCAUUUUUAAUUUUUAUAACUAUGGACAAACCUUGGAUAUUUAUAAAAUUUCUUAAACAUGAUUUCAUUAAAAUAUUAUUAUAUCUUUUUAAUUAAAACGAUUGAAAUGACAAAUGAGUAACAUCGCACUCAUAAAAAGAAAACUCAAAUUUAAAUAACAUGAUUAAUAUUUAAAUUCAUUAAACUUAAUUAAAAUUUAUCUUAAACUAAUUAAAUAUAAUUCUAAAUUCAUUAAAUUUUAUAUUUUAUCAUUAAAAUAUAUAAUAAUAUAUUUAUUAUUAAUAAUAAUUAAAAUUUUGAGAUUGAAUUUAAAUAAAGAACCAUCAACAUAUAAAUUGGAAUUCAAUAUAAAUACUAAUUCUAUUUAAUUAAGUCCACUUCAAACAAAAAAAAUCAUCCUGUAAAAAUUUGAUCAAAUGAAAAUGCUUGAAAAUAACAACAGUCGCGGUCCCUAGAGGGAGUGGUCUAUUUUAAAUUUUAACUCAGUAAUACCGAGACCGGGGGAUACUUGCCCAGUUGUUAGACUGAGGUGAGCUUGGGCCCCAAUAUCUAACCUUGAGAUUCUCUGAAUUGCCCCUAGGCCCACCAGGCGAAAGCUUUUGCUCAACGAAAAUAUAUGUAAGGUCAAAUUCGCCAACGGAGAGCCUGAAAAUCCAUCCAUUAAUUAAAAUUAAUAAACGCUGCCAAAUUGCCAAAUAUUCCCAUUCUCCCCCUACCCCCCACCUAAUGACAACCGUUUACUUUUCCAAAGUUUUCUUUUUUUUAUUUUUUAUUUUUUAAUAUAUGGGACUAAGCAUACUAGCGUGGCAUUUCCGUAGUUACCUGCUGAACGAAGCCUUAUUUGAUUGCUGUGCUCUCUUUAAAAACAGAAACGCACUCCUGCUCAAAACGCUAAACCGCAGCAAGGUCGUAGCCGGAGACUGUGUUUCUGGCGAGCGAGUCGUUGUGAACUCUUGAGUCGAUCUAAACAAACCACUCAGGGAGGUUUCGCACAUUGAGAUUGAAACAAAUUCUGUUAUUGAUCUCAGAAUUUUAGUCAAGGAGAUGCCGUCGGAGUUGAUAUUUAGAGGCCACGACGAAGCCCAGCAUAUCACCGACUCCUACUCGCCUAAGCCGCCCAAACGAUGGCUUUCCAUCAGUCGCCCGAUUCGCUACAUGCUUCGAGAGCAGCGUCUCGUCUUUGUCCUCGUUGGCAUUGUUAUUGCCACUCUUUUCUUUACCGUCCGUCCUUCCUCUUCUAGGGCUCCAUAUGUGCCUCACCACAAACACAAGCCGAUCUCCGACUCUCUGGAUCACUUCUCUCGCGUGUCAGUGCCAGCGAGAUACAAAUUAUACGAACCUCAUGGGACCGGGUUCGGGUCGAUGAAUACAGGUGGGAAGAUUCCGCUUGGGCUAAAACGGAAGGGUUUGAGAAUAGUGGUGACCGGUGGGGCUGGGUUCGUUGGGUCACACUUGGUGGACCGUCUGAUUGAAAGAGGCGACAGCGUGAUCGUGGUGGACAAUUUCUUCACGGGAAGGAAGGAGAACGUGAUGCACCACUUCAAAAACCCGAGAUUCGAGCUCAUACGGCACGACGUCGUUGAGCCCCUGUUGCUGGAAGUUGACCAGAUCUAUCACCUUGCUUGCCCAGCAUCGCCCGUGCAUUACAAGCACAACCCCGUCAAGACCAUAAAGACCAAUGUGGUUGGCACAUUGAACAUGCUAGGGUUGGCGAAGAGGGUCGGUGCCAGGUUUCUGCUCACCAGCACCAGCGAGGUCUACGGUGAUCCUCUCCAGCACCCGCAGGUCGAGACUUACUGGGGCAACGUCAAUCCCAUAGGUGCGUCCUCUCUUCUCUAUCUCUCUUCUUCUAUUAGCUUAACAAGUAUUUCCGGCGAUCGGGAUCCUGCAACGUGUCAACUCGCGAGCAAGCUCGCGCAAGUAGCAGUACAUGACGCGUGGGGCUAACGUGCGCACGGCACGAGGCAUAUGUUAGAAAGGCAACGUCCGGUUUUGUCUUUUAAGGUGGCGGUGGUGGCUAGUUGGGAACGGACCUUGACCUUAGAUCCACAAUAGGGUCGAAGAGGCGCAAUUGGCGGGUCAUAAAAUUCGACUGUAGAAGUUGGGGGAGUGAAAAUGUAAUUUUUCCCUUUGGAAAAAUUAAAUCUCCAAGCGUCCAGAUCUAACGAACAGCUUUCGCUUGAAAAUGUGACAGGUGUCCGAAGUUGUUACGAUGAGGGAAAGAGGACAGCUGAGACAUUGACAAUGGAUUACCACAGAGGAGCAGGUGUUGAGGUUUGUAAGUUUUUAGUAACUAAUUUUCUUUUGUCAUACGCCUGAACUUGUCAGUUAAAUUAUUGUUUUAUUUAUAUAUUUCCCAGGUCAGGAUUGCAAGAAUUUUUAAUACCUAUGGACCCCGAAUGUGCAUUGACGACGGUCGUGUUGUUAGCAAUUUUGUUGCUCAGGUGGGUUUUUUUUUUCUCUAAAUAAUAAAAAUAUGGUGAAGUGGAUUGUGUUAUUUGUGCAUGAAUUGAGGUUAGUAAUUAACAGAAUUAGGGGACAUUGGUUGCAGGCAUUGAGGAAGGAGCCUUUGACUGUUUAUGGUGAUGGGAAGCAGACAAGGAGUUUCCAAUAUGUGUCUGAUUUGGUAAAAGUCCCUUAGUUUCUCUCACCAGUGAUGGCUUAUUGCUUUUCUCUUUUCUCUUUGCUUUUGUUGUCCUGUCCAAUCCAAAUAUCAGAUUGUUAAGAGUCAAACUUUUUAAUUUCUUAGAUUACAUAUUAUUUGUGUGCCACAACUUUUCGAGGCGUUGGGGACUAUUAAUGUAUUCUGCUUUUGCAUACCUAAUUCCUCCGGCAAUGACAUUCAUACGCAUUACGCAACGUUGCCCAACGUUGCCCCCUAGCACGUGUGCUGUGUUGAACUAGGGUGCAAUAAUCAAUCUCUUUCACCUAUGCACGUACAUGACACAUUGUUUUUACUCACUGCCUGGAGUAGGUAUAAUAUUUGUAUAGUUUGCUUCAUAAAAUCUAGACAAUUUUUUUUGGUAUCAAACAGUUCAUUUUUUAACUGAAAGUGGGAUUCUUAUCAUGGACAAUUUUCCUCAUCACUUUAUUGUUUAAUAUUAAAUGCUUACGGGUUGAUGAGCCUUUUUGUUAGAGCGAAAGUGGAAGCCUUGUCUUCGUCUUUCUUUGUACCAAAACAUGUUCUGUUUGUAUCCAGCAUAUCGUUUUUUAAACAGUUUCUGCUUCUAGUGCUCAGGAUUUAUUUUAGUGUCCUGUUGUAUUUGUAUUCAAAAAUCAGGUUGAAGGUCUGAUGCGCCUUAUGGAAGGAGAACAUGUGGGACCUUUCAAUCUUGGCAAUCCUGGUGAAUUUACUAUGCUUGAGCUUGCUCAGGUAAGUUUAUUUGUAUUCUAGUUGACAUCGCUUUUCCUCCGGUUGGUGGUUUUUCCUUCUUAUUUAUCGAAAGAAUUAUUCAUUUUCUUUCCUUUUUCUUUUACAUGGUUUAAUAAUGUUUUAAAUCUGUUUAACCUAGCAAAACAUCAAAGUAUAGAAAGAUUGUGCCAUUUAAGGUUUCAAUGAUGUUAUAAAUAAUUUGCAUAUGGUAAUAAUUGGCUGUGCUGUUUUUUAGAACAGUCAUUGUGGGAUAUUCCAAUUUGUUAGGGUUUAAACAGUAUUUUUCUUUUUUUUUUUAUUUUGUAUUUUUUUGGGAGAACUAUAGUUUUUAUAUUCAUUGAGAAUGAAGAAAAUAUAAAAAAAUGUGAUUCAAGUCAUUCAUAAUAAAAAAAAUAUUGUAGAAUAUGUAAAAUUAUAUGUUAAUUGUUAUUUAUAUAUUCUAUGUAUAAUAUAAUUCUUUUUAUCAUUGUAAAUAAAUAUUUUAUGAAAUAAGGUUUAAUUGUCAAUAGAUUAUUGUAUAAAUUUAGUCAUGGAAAAGUUUCAUUUGAAAAACAUCAUUUUUUAAUAAAGAAAAACAGUGAAAAUUUUAGAAAAACCGGAAAAAACUUUUAUUUGUUGGGCAUUGUGUGGUUUAGGUAAAUGGUUGGGUGUUUCUAAAGAUACUUGUUGUGCAUCAACCUUGUACAGUGGGUCACAUUCAGUGUGUUGCUUUAGCAGGCAAAGUGAGGUUGUCCUUUUUUGGUUGGUGUAGGUGGUCCAAGAAACCAUAGACCCGAAUGCAAGGAUAGAGUUCAGGCCUAACACAGAAGAUGACCCACACAAGAGGAAGCCUGAUAUUACGAAGGCAAAAGAUCUGCUUGGUUGGGAGCCCAAGAUAUCCCUUCGGAAGGGUCUGCCACUAAUGGUCUCAGAUUUCCGGCAACGCAUCUUUGGUGACCACAAGGAAGAUACCACCACCACCAGGAGCACUGUGUCAACAACUUAAAUUGGCAAAAAAAUUUUUCUAGACAUGUGGCAGCUAUAUAAUUAUUUGGUUGAUAAGCAAGCUGUCGUUGCCCAUAUCACUGGAUACAGUUACAUGGCAACAACAGUAGCAGCAAAGAAGUCCGUUAUUCUAGAAGGAAUGAACUUGGAGGUGUCUCGCAUUUAAUUCCCAGUCAGCUUCCUCAUCUCCAUGCUUUUUCUUUUUCUUUUCCCCUUGUAAUUUCACUUGGAAGGAUAUUAGACAGCGAGCCUUGCAAUUAGAAUUUAGCCCUUUACUCAAAUAUUGAUGCAAUUGAUAUGUGUAACAGCAUCAGGAAUGGCUUCCAAUUGUAUUAGUUUUGUUGCGUAUACGACUCUUCAUCUUCCAAUAUACGGUAUUUUCCGGUCUUGAUUUUCCAAUUUACGGGAGAAAAAGGAUCUAUAAUUUGUACUGGGGGAAACCAGGAGAUGUAAGGACGACCAAUCUAAGCGUGGAACAUUAAAGCAUACUCAGUUAUUUCUCGUGUAUGGGGCUCACACGAGGGCUCCAUUAUUUUGAAGAGGACCGUCGGUUGCUAUGGACACGUAGCUUCCAGAAAUGAAUAUGAUUGGACACGUUUCUUUCAAUGCCACGAACCAACUGAACGCUAUUAUUUUUUCCAAGUAAUGAGAUACUUGAGAGCCAUUGAUAAUUUUACGUUGCCCAUCUUCCUGCAGGUUAUCAUAAAAGGAGGCAAAUUCUAUUGCUGAUUUUAAGUUUUAAGCUAGCACAUGCCAAGGCGUGUACCUGCUAAGUACAUUGGGAUCUUUUGAGAAAAAGAAGCAAUGAUAUGUGUAACAGCAUCAGCAAUGGCUUCCCAAUGUAUUAGUUUUGUUGCGUAUACGACUCUUCAUCUUCCAAUAUACGGUAUUUUCCGGUCUUGAUUUUCCAAUUUACGGGAGAAAAAGGAUCUAUAAUUUGUACUGGGGGAAACCAGGAGAUGUAAGGACGACCAAUCUAAGCGUGGAACAUUAAAGCAUACUCAGUUAUUUCUCGUGUAUGGGGCUCACACGAGGGCUCCAUUAUUUUGAAGAGGACCGUCGGUUGCUAUGGACACGUAGCUUCCAGAAAUGAAUAUGAUUGGACACGUUUCUUUCAAUGCCACGAACCAACUGAACGCUAUUAUUUUUUCCAAGUAAUGAGAUACUUGAGAGCCAUUGAUAAUUUUACGUUGCCCAUCUUCCUGCAGGUUAUCAUAAAAGGAGGCAAAUUCUAUUGCUGAUUUUAAGUUUUAAGCUAGCACAUGCCAAGGCGUGUACCUGCUAAGUACAUUGGGAUCUUUUGAGAAAAAGAAAAAAAAAAAAAAAAAAAGCUAGCACAUGCCACAUUGAAAUCUCACAUUAUCCUGGUUGUAGACGAGAAACCACAUGGAUUUGAAAACAAACAUCGCGGCAACAGGGGCCAAAAACAACCAACACUGCCGAUAAAGCCUUUGAAGACUAUUUUAAAUAUCAAACGGAAGCAAACCAUUCUUCAAACAUUACAGAGUAGAAACAGCUCUAAAUGCCCCGUUAUUAACUCAAAAAAAAAAAGGGCAACUUCUCAAGGAUACUGCAAUCCAAGAAGGUGGAAAUUGUAAGGAUUUUUGUAUCAUCGUCCAUUGGCAUACUCCAGACCACCAAAUUAGAAUUUUCUUUUAUACAAAAAAGAAAAGGAAAAAGAGAGAGAGACGGCAUAAUUUGGAUAAUUAGGCCAAAUGUAGAAUCAAGCUACUCGAAUUGGAGAGGGUUACAGAUGUAAGUUUGGGUCAGCUACAGAAUUUUGGUUAUGAGCCCUAAUCCAAGAAAGACCAAGACUGCUCGAUGCGCCAAUCGGCGGACUGGGGUAGGAUUGCCCAUUUAAUGGACAACGGUGUCGUAUGAUUUUUAACCAACUCUGUAAUGGUAAUGAAAUAGGUACCGAGUUUAAUGAUCACCGGUGUCGUAUGAACUGAAGUCAUUAAAAAAAAAAUGCAAAUAAACUGAUUAUCAAAAAUCAUAUAUUUUUCAUCACAAUUAAAAAUAAAAAAUAAAAAUCUCAAAGCAUUAGCAUGCCCGUUAAUCUCCAACCAUACUUUUGCUUGCUAUUAAUGAUCAGCCUAAUUAACCAAAAGCAUAUCUUAUUAUUUCACUUCCUUUAUAAACACGAAAAAGAAAAAAACAUUUUGAACACUUGCAGGAGCAUGCUAAACUUCUGAUGACAACAGAUAUAAGCCAAAAGCUACUGAGAGGAACAGUGAGCUAAGCUAACUGCUACAUUGCCGAGUGGAGCGUGCGGGGCUCCUUGAGUCCGCAGAGGUAGCUCCCCUGGGAUUGUUUUCUCCGACUCUGCACUGGUGCAGGAAACUCAUCAACUCUUUCUAUGCCAUUGUUGAAGGGUUCAAUGAUAGGUUCAGGGACAAGAUCAAGGGUGUGCUUUUCAAGCCAAUCUACGAUGUCUGCAAAUACGAUAUCCACAUUCUCAUUGGUCUCCCCUGCUGUCAAUGCAUGCCACAUUCCAGGGUACAGUUUCAUGGUUUUGUCUUUGCUGCUGGCUUUCUCGUACAAGGCUUUGCUUAUUUCUGGAUCAGUCACUGUAUCUGCAUCACCGUGCAGCACAAGGAAUGGUAGUCUCACCUGCCGACAACCACCCAAUCAAAAAUUUUGUAAAUUAAAAUUUAUUGCAAGGUAACAUCAAGAAUGAACGACCUUUGCUUUCUCCAGAUAAUUUGUAAUGCUUAAAAUGUAAAAAUUAAAUGAAAUUUGAUAUUUCCUGAAGCUAUUUUAUUACACGUGUUGUUCUUAAAGGACAAGCCUGUAGAGUAAAUGUGAAAUUUUUGUUGACUAAAAUGGCAGAGACUGGCAUCUUUCGUACCCUUUAAGAUGGGAGUGCAAGUCUAGUGAUUUAUUAUUUUAUUUUAUUUUAUUUUUUUGUGUAAAGUAAGCUAAAGGGGAGAUAGAAUUAGGAACCUGAUAUAAACUCUGUUCAAGGCUCAUGCUAGUUCUGAGCAUUUCCAGGGCGGUUUUCAGCCUAGGCUUGUCCUGGUAUAUCAACUUGUUGUUCCUUAUCUGUACCCAUCAGGAAGUAAUGAGAAAAAAAAAAGGUGGUCUUGAAAUUACAAAUUGAAAAAUACAAGAAUAAACUCACCUCCUCUCGCUUGAAAGGAUCUUUGAAAGCAGAAUCAAUCACAUCUUUAGUUGGGACAAUCUUCCAUUUUGGAAUGAUCUCUUCAAAACUUGUCAAUAUAUUAACCACCACAGGAUGUGGUUUCAACUUCUCUGAUAUCUACCAAAAAUGUACCACACAAAUCAAUGGCCAUUAAUUGUUGCUAUAAGAUAAUUAUGCAUAUCAGAUUCAGACAAGGAAAAAAAAGAAGAAAAAGACCAUUUUCUCCCCUAUACUACCUUACACAUAGGGGCAACGAGAACAGCACCAUUAUAGAAGGAGGGUUCCUUUUUAUGCAGUAACAGGGCCACUGCCCCUCCCAUGGACUCUCCACACAGGAAUCUGCCCUUGUCACUGUAAUAUUUCUCUACUGUAAACACCAUAGUAAACAAACUUACACUUGGCUGUUACCAUUAAUUAAACCAUUUAAGUAUGAUAGCUGUAAUAGUAAACAUACCACAAACUGAUUUGAAAAAUUCAUUGCAAUCAUUGACAAUAUUUUCAAAUUUCUUGAUGUAGCAACGGGAGCCGGAGGACCGUCCAUGGCCUUCAUAGUCAAUUCCAAACACAGCAUAUCUUGCACGUGCUAGCCUGAUUCCACAUUCUUUUUAUUUGAAAAAAAAAAAGGGUCAGCAGUGCUUAUUGAAACAAUAAUUGGGUUAACAAAAUAACAGGGACUAAGGUUUUUUUUUUUUUGCAUUUCCUUCUAUUUUUAGGUCAGCUGCCCCAUCUAAUACUACAGGGGUUAGAGAACUAUAAAUGAUACCUGUAGGGUCCAACUCGUGGACUAGCUGAGCCACAAGGAGGGGACUGGUUGCCAAACCUAACCAAUUAGCUGACCAAAACUUUUAUUUCAGGUCAGAUGGAUUUCCUGACCCACGUCUUGACGGAACUUGACCAAAGGUGCAGUAUAAGUUAUCUCAGGGAUAGCCGAACUCAAAUUUAUAUCCACAAGAUUUUCUUACUUUUUUUUCAAGGAAAAAAAAUAUUAUUGAACCGAAUUAAAUAGAACAAAAUGAAUUCAAAAAUCAGAAGGAUAGGACUCUACUCGUGAAGACCAGGCCGAGGAGAGUCUGGGUAGGAGAUUGAUAUCAUAUUUUCAGAAUUUUUUUUAUAUUAAAUUUGGAUUAUUUUGUAUACACCACAUAGAAUUGAAGAAACGAGAAUUUGCAUAAAAGGACAAAACGACCGAGUAGAACGGGCCUCAUUGAAAGUGGGAAAUGACCUGCCAUUUUCAUCAACACCGAAGGAAAUGGAAAGAAGAAUGCUUUAAAAAAUUAAAAAAUACAUGAAAAAUAAGAUUUUUUUUAAAAAAAAAAAUCAUGGUGAUAAGGUUGCCGACGUGGGCUUUAGUGCGCUGAUGCCUGAUGGAUCUCGGAAGGCACAGGAAGAAGAAGACAAGCAAACAGAAGAUAGGGGAUAUGGGCGAAAACAAAUUUGGCUGGCAUUAUUAGGCUCUGCAUGAUAUUAUUAUUUCGAAUAAAAAUAAUUUGAAUAUUCUUAGCUACAAUUAUUACAAAAUAACUUUAGAUAUUUUAAAAUAAUAAAAUAAUAUUUUAAUUUCAAAAAUAAUAUCAACAUUUUCAGUUAAAAUUACUUAUAUAGUUAUUUUGUUUUUCAAUAAUUAUAUUUAUACUCCAUAUAAUUCACCAUUAAAUUAAACUUUAAGAAUAUUUAUUGUCAAAGUAAUAUUUACUUUUGUAAAGAAUUAAAUUAUUAUAAUUAAUAAAUAAAUAAAGGACGUGCAAUAUCACAAACAGGGGCAUGGGCUCCUCAUCCUGAAGCUAACUCCAGAAAUUGAAUACAUCAGACAGCCUUUCCAGAUACGACCACACCCCACUAUCUCAUAUAUCAUCACCAUUUCGAAAAUUAAGGGAAAAAAAAAAAAUCAAAGGUCAUAUCAUUACCAUCAUGCUUUUUUAUUUUUUAUUAAUUAUUAAAAUAAAGUAAACGUAUCAGCAAAUGGUCAAUUGAAAUUUAUUAUGUACAUGAAAAAAAUAAUUAAUAGGUUUUAAUCUGAUAGUCUAGUUCCUCUUCUGCCAUAGACAACAGAAUAUUGAGACGUGCAAGAAAAAAAUUCUUGAAUUUUCUUUUAUAUAUUUUAAUAUUAAUAUUAGAAUAAAUUACGAUUCCUUUUAGUCUAAUUAAGGGGAUUCGAACUGGUUUAAGUUGAUUUGGUAUCAAAUCAAAAGCGACAGAGAGAAGAAAAAAAAUGGGAAGGAAGAAGUGGUGACCAUUGGAAGAGAAAUAAACAAAAAUGGAGAAGAAGGUUAACGGUAGCUAAAGAGAAUUUAAUACCUUUCAUGUAACCACUGCACUCCAUGCCGUACCCUGCAAAACCCAUUGUUCAUUAAUGAAUAAAAUAAUUGCACUCAACCCACAAAUGCAGAGCGCCAUAACUCGAAGGAACAGAGAGAGUACCAUGGCAGAGGAAAACAAGAGCUUUUGGAGAAGAUGAAACAGGCAACCAUCUACAAGUGAAUAGCUGCACUCCUCUUGAAUUCUUUAUGUACACCUAUAUAUAACACCCAAAAACACAAAAGCAAUCUCAUAAAUCGCAUGGUGAACAAAGAAAGACCAAUCGAAGGGGCAGAAGAAAGACAGACAGGAUUGAAAAACCUCACCUCCUGAUACUCAAAAUCCAUAGUUUCAUGCAGCGAAAAUAAACAAAAAAAGAAAAAUCAAUAGCAAGCCUUCACAAUAACAAGAUUGAGCAUCAGUUUUUGAACUGCGUCUGCGCGACAGAUCCUUAUGUAAGAGGAUCUCGGAAGGAAAGCAACAGAAUGCGAUGAUGUAUGCAGUGAAAGAGAGAGAAACGUUGUCGUUUCGCGUAGAAGAGAGGCGCAGAGAAUUCUAGCAAUGAGAAAAUGGGGAGGAAAGUUUAUCGAGAGAAGAGCUACGAUGGGAUCUGUUUUGUUUACUUAUUCUGUUAAGACUACCAUUAUAUUAGGAUUUCUUUGAAAAGUUCCUUUUGUGGAGUGGGCCAAAUUAUAAAUAAAUUGUAUAUUAUAUCGCAUACUUUUAAAAAUAUAUAAAACAAUUGGGAUUUUUAUGGUUAUUUAAAAUUAAAACAAAGUACAUAUCUUUUAUUAUAAAAAUAAAUUAAAUUUUAUGGAAAUUAUUUAUUUUUAUUAUUAAAUUCAUAUAAAAUUAUUUUAUUUUUGCAAAAUAAUUAUUUUAAACAUGUUAAAUUAACGAAAUGUGAUGUUUCAAAAAAAGAUAUGAAUAUAUUUUUAUAUAAAUUAAGAUAAUAAUUAUUAUAUUAUACUAAUAAAUUAUUAAUUAAAAAAAUAUUUUAUUAUAUUAUUUAUAAGAAUGUAUGAUUAUUUUUAUAUUUGAAAAUGUUCAUAUUUCUUAUAUCUUUAAAAAUGUCAUUGUUUUUAUUAUUAAUCUAAUAAUUUUUCAUAGAAUAAUUACGUAUAAAUUUAUAAAAUUUAUAGCACAAAUAAUUAUAAAAUAUAAAUAUAUGUUAUAUGCAAAAUAUAUUAUAUGCAAUAUUAUAAAAUAUAUAUUUUAAAUUUUAUGCUGAAUUUAAAUGCGAGUAUUUUUUUUCUUCAUUGCAUUUAAAAUUCUUAAUUAUAAUUUAAUUUCUUUCAUUACUCAUUUUAUUUAUAGCAUUCAAAACUUUUUAGUCAAAAUAAUAUUUUAAAUAAAUAAAAAUAUUUAUGUUAAUAUAAUUAUCAUUUUAUAUUAAGAAAAUAUAAAAUAUUGAUGAUGUCAAUUCACGCAACCUGCAAGCAUAUUACGUAGUAUGAAAUGACUUAAAAUGUCAACAAUUAUAAAAGAAAAAGUUAUAAGAAAAUAUUUUUUUGAAAUAAAUGAAUGAUUAAUUUAUAAUUAUUUUCAUUACUUCUAUAAGAAUAAAUUAUUUAAAAUUGUAAAUAUAUACUCACAUAUUAUUUAAAAUUAAAAAAUUAUAAUAAUUAAAUAUAAAUUAAUUGUAUCGUUGAUCUUUUAUAAAAAAAAAAUAAUUGUGCUUUAAUUUUUUAUAAAAUAAAAAAAUUAUUAAUUUUUUACAAAUUUUUAAAAAUUCAGAAUUAAUUAACAAUAAGACAACCAAUUUUAAUAUUUUUCAAUAAUCAUUAAUAAUAUAAUUUUUAUAUUCGAUUGUUAUAAUUUUUAUAAAUUUAUGUGUUUAUUAAGUUAUAAUUUGAAUUUGAAUAUUAAAUUAAUAUCAACUAUAUUCGACUAAUUUUAAAAAAGUAAAAUUAGCAAUCUUUUCUUUAAAUUAUUUUUGUAAUUAAACUCUAUAAUCUAUAUAUUAAUAAGCAGAACAAAUUGUUAUAUUUUUUUAAAGUCAACAUAUUAUAAUUUCGUAAGAUUCUCAUAUCAUCUUUAAAUUGCCAUUUGUUAAUUAAAGAUAUGAUUGCUAUGUAUACUUGUUUUCCCUUUUAAAAACUUAUUUACAAUCUUGGAAAUUUUUCAUUUAGUUGACUUCGACUUAAUUUACCUUACUAAUUAAAAUAAUUAAACCCGAAUUUCAUUAUUUUUUAUAACUAAUUCAACUAAAUUAUAAUAAUUUUAUACUUGAAGAACAAAAACUAAAUUAUAAUAAAAGUAUGUAGAUAUAUAAGUUAUGGUUAUUGACAAAAAAAAAUUAAAACUAAAUUUAUGCCAAAAUUAGGUAGAAAGGAGGUCCAUUUAAGAUGAUAAAUGGCAAUGGAUCAGGUGGUUUUUAAUAUUUGAUCCGAUUGAAGUUUAAAAAAAAUUUUUGUAUACGUAUAAUCAGAUUUAGCCAGUUUUGAAUUUCAAAAAUAAUAUUAAUUGUGGAUUCGAAUUUUAUUUAUAGAUAUUUAUUAUUCGAAUUCGUUUAUAUAAAUAAUUAAUUUAAUAUAAAAAUAUAUAUUUUAUAAUAAUAUUUAUAGAAAUUUUUAUUUAAAAUUAGAAUUUAAAUAUUUUUAUAUAAAUUAUUAAUUAAAAUAUAUAAGAUUAAAUAUAUUUAAUUUUUAUUUGUAUAAUAAUAAUUAGUUUUGAAGGAUAUAGAAUAAUUUAAAUUAAUUUUUAAUUAAAUUUAAAAUGAACUCNNNCGGGUAUCCUGCCGUUUAAUCCCUAUGGGCAUUUAUUUCAAAAUGUGCAGUGUAAUUUGUCAAGGAUAUAGACAAACAUUGUCACUCUUCAUUUUUGUUGAAAUCUCUCUCAUUCUUAGGUUGAUUUGUAUCUCUAAAACAUAUUAUUAUGACUCAUUUAUUACUGUAAAUGUUACUUGGGAUUAUAAGUUACGUUGAGGGAAAUAGAUUGCUCUUAGUUGACCCGUGGCUAACUAAUAUAUUUUAUCACUGAACCAGAAAUUCAAGUUGAUAUGGCUAAAGAAAUGAGUUUGGUAGAUAUUGAAGACUGGGUUGCCAUGGGCAUGAUCUAGUCCAAGGAGAUUAGUUUGCCUCAAAUUCUUAAGCAUUUAACCCCUCAAAAAAUAGUUAAGUCAUUAAAUUAAGUAAUCAAAUAAAGGAAGCUUAAGGAUGAAAAUAGCAGUCUUGAUGAAAGAUUAUCUCAGAAGGAAAGAAGAUUUAUUAUUUUAAGUUUAGAUUAAAAGUUGAAAAUCAAGGGGUAACCACACUAUCUCCCACCCCAUAUUUUUAAAAAAUAAAUAUGUUACGUGAGUCUCUAGUACGCUGCUCAUAAUAAUAAUAAAUAAAAUAUAAUAAAAUGUAAAUACCUCGCUAGGUAUUAUUAAUACCUACCUAGCUGGGGUGGGGGAUAGUGUGGUUACCCUUGAUUUUCAACUUUUUACAUUAAUAACAAUGAAUAAUGUAAUAUUUCCUCUAAACUCUUAUUUGGAUUCAAAUGUUUCAGAAUAAUUUAAUUCAAAUAAUUUUUUUUUAUUAAUUUUAUUGUUUAUAAUGAAAAAUUUUAUUUUUUUUAAUUUAUAAAAUUUUUAUUUUUUAAAAAAUAAAUCACAUUUGAUUUUAUAAAAAAAUUAUCAGAAUAUUUUUAAUUUUUUUAAAAUUUAUUUUAUUAUCUCUUAACUAUCCAAAUUGUAUAUAGAAAUAAUUAUUGAAAUUAAAGUAAUUAAUUAAAAUAAAUUGAGAAUUAUUUAACCACAAUUUAGAUGAUCUAAUUAUUUUAUUUAUCAUGGUAUAACAACUUUAAUUGAUAGAUAAAAGUGGUCAAAGGAGUAAUCCACUAAAAUAUCAUUAUAAUAUUUUAGCAUAUUCUUAUUCUUUCUUAAUUUUAUAAUAAAUAAAUAUAAAUAAUCAACUAAAAGAUAUAUACAUGCAUUGACAAUAAGAAGACAUUGGAAAAAAAUAAUAAUUAAUAUUUUUAAAAUUUUUUAAAUGAUAAAUGAAAUAAAAAAUGUAAAAUAAUACUUGAAUAUGGAAGAGGAGUAAAUCGGACAGGAAAUAAAAUGAAUCGAAAAUGAGAAUAAAUUGGAAAAAAAAAUAAUUUAAAAUUUUUAAAGUGAUAGGUAAAAUAGGAAAAAUAUAGUACAGUAGUAGUAAAUGUAUUGGAAUAAAUUUAAAAGGUGUUAAGUUGUAUUUCUCAAUUGAUAUUCAAAUAAAAGAAAAUAGAUAAAUAACCUUUUGAAUCCCAUUUAAAAAAUAUAUAUAUAUAUAUAAAUAAACCUUUGAAUCGGAACGAUAAUCCAAACAGAAAAUAUGAGAGGCACAAUCUCUUUUAAGAAUGGGUUUAACUUAAUUUAUGAAAUUUAAAUAAUGUAUUUAGUAUAUAUAUUUAUAAAUAAUAAAUAAAAGUUAAUAUAUUUAUUUAAACACAUUAUAAAAUUGAAUAAAAAGAAUAUAAGAAGUUUUUCAUUAAUUAAAAUAUAAAUUGUAAUCUAAAAUUUUGAAUAAAGAUAGAUUUAGUAUGAUGAUAAAUAUAUUGAAUAAAUUUCAUACUCUACUCUUCCAUCUCCAAUUUCAUUUUUUUAAAAAAAAAAAUUUGAAUAAAAAAAUUUUAAUAAUUUAAUUAUAAAUUUUAAAUUAUUACAUUAUUAUAAAUAAAAGAAUAGUUUAUAAGUUAUAAGCUUAGCGAAAAAGACUCUAAAACUUGCAUUAAUGUUUUUUUUUUUUUUUUAUUGAUAAAAUAAAACCAUCGUAAUGAAAGAUUUAAAAAAUAAAUGUUUAAUUCAUAUUUUGCAUAAAUCAGAAGAUAUAAAAGUCGAUUUUCAUCAUUUAUGAGAAACCCAUGCAUUCAAAUCCACAGCCACGGCUCUCUCGUUUUCAAGCGAUUUCAUAUGAGCAGUUAGGGCUGAGCAUUCGGUCGGUUCGGUUCAAAACCGAACCGAACCGAAAUAACCGAAAACCGAAUUGCAGUAUUUUACAUAAAUCGAACCGAACCGAAUAAGAGGGAUAACCGAAUCGAACCGAUUUGAUUCGGUUCGGUUCGGUUCGGUCGGUUCAAUCGAUUGAACCGAUUUUUAAAAAAAAAAUAAUAACAGUUAACAUAAUCUAGAAUAGAAUACUUCACGGCCAUGAGUUUACAUCAACAAUCAAGAGCAGAGCACACACUUGAACAAUCAAUAACACAAAUUCAACAAUCAAUAGUACACAAAUUCAACCAAGAGUACAUAAAUUCAACAAUCAACAGCAAAUCACAAAUAUUUACUUAGCUUCUACGGUUGACUCAAGUUCAACAGCACGCCGUGGCACUGGCAGGCAACCAUGUCCGACACAACCGAGGGCUGGAGGCGCGAGUGGCACUCUUGGUCCCGGAGUCUGGUCCACGAACUGUGAAAGGCUCAAGGCUGGAAGCGCGACACAGAGACUCGGAGAGGACUGAGGGCUGUGGAAUAAGCACGACCAAAUUGCCGACUGCCCGAUGAUGCGUGGAGAGCCAAUAGAGAGCAACGGCCGACGCCGAUGAUUGCGUGGAAAGAGAGACUAAAGAUCGGUGAAGAUCGACGAUGGUGAAUCAGUCCAGUCGAGAGGAGAGUGGAGGCACAUCACAUGCGCGAGAAUCUCGCGACGAGAUGCGUGCGUGGCUCUACUACUCAGAAAGAGACCGGAGGCUGGACGGUGGACGGUGGACGGUGGAUGGUGGAACUGCCGCUGGAACUUGGAUGGAACUCAGAGGCGAGGCACGUUGAGAGGUGAGGGCGUUAGGUUUAGGGGUGGGUGAGCACAGAGAUAGAGAUGCACGCACGGAGAGAGAAAUUUGUUUUAAAUUUAGGCAAAGGAAGGGAAGGGAAGGGAAAUAGGGAAUUAGGAAACUACUCAAACGACGUAGUAUAAGUGAUUUCGGUUCGGUUCGGUCUAAUCGAAAUUUUUACGUCUAAAACCGAACCGAACCGAAAUCACCGAUUUUUUUAAAAUUUCAAACCGAACCGAACCGAAAAAAAAAUAAAACCGAACCAAAAUUUCAAAUCGGUUCGGUUCGGUCGGUUAUUUCGGUUUAAACCGAAUUCUGCUCAGCCCUA
rnacentral:lncRNA from 1 species